rnacentral:lncRNA from 1 species
UCCUAGUUGGUAUCUAUGAUUCAUUGUAUAUGUAAACACCUUAGUGUCAAUGAAAUACUAUUCCGCUUAUCAGUUUUUUCAAAGCAAAACAAAACCUAGAAAGAGAUUUGACAUACAUUUAGACAUCAUAUUCCCAAACAAUAUUUUCUUAGUUAUGAAUUAUCCGGGGUUUCUUUUGUGACGUCAGUUUCAAUGAAAAGAAGUCACCCUAUACAGAGAUUGAAUUGUGCAUUUUUAUGUCUUGACUUGUAUCGUUUUCAGUUUUAUGUUCAUCUACAUUACAUCUUGGCAAAGGAUAUGUUCACCCUCAGAUUUGUGACCCAUGCAUUCAGUUAUUGGGCUCUGUUCCUAGCUACUGCAUUGUGCUUAUUCUACUUUCUAUCAUGGACUUGAGUUUUUCUGUAUGGUUUGAAAGUAAGAAUUCUUAUGUGCCUGUGUAAUUUCUGUAUAUUGGUUGAAAGUAAGAAUUCUUUUGUGACAUUAGUUUCGAUGAAAAGAAGUCACCCUAUACUGACAAAUUGAAUUGUGCAUUUUUAUGUUCAUCUACAUUACAUAUUGGCAAAGGAUAUGUCUUGACUUGUAUGUUCUUCAUGGAAAUAGGAAUGUAGUUGUCUGUGUGUGUGUGUGCGCGCGCGCGAGGGAGGCGGCAUGGAUGGGGGUCCUUUUUCAUAUCUGUGUGUGUGUGUGUGUCUGCGAGUGGGAUGGAAGGUUGGGUGUGAACUGUACAUCCUAAAAAGGACAUCAAUAAAAGCAAUUGUCAAGUUAUAUGGUCAACUUAUAAUUUUAAGGCCUGGUGAGGGAUAAUCGAGGUUUCUAUGGUUAUAUGGUCAAGUUACAUAAUGAAAGUUUGCGUGAAUUUGUAGUUAUACUUUAAGGACUGUUUUAUUUCGUUGUGUGUAUUUUUUCUAUCAUGGACUUGAGUUUUUCUUGUAUGGUUUGAAACUAAGAACUCAUGUGCCUGUGUUAUUUCUGUAUCUAGGUUGUCAGAGACAAGCAGACUGGCAAAACUACGGGAUCUGGGUUUGUUAGAUUUACUAACCCUUCAGGCCUGGCUGGAGCGCUCAAGGAAAUGAAUGGUAAUAACACAUAUUUCUUUGACUCGUUCUCUGCUUAUUGUUUUUGUUGGACUGUCUGCUUUCACUGUACAAUGCAUGGUAUAUGUUCCUUUUAUUCACUCCUCAACUCCAACUUGCCCCUCCUAUAAUCAAGUUGAUGUGAAACUACGCUGCAAUAUUGAAUUGUGAGGGUUUUUAGUUGUUCAGUAUUGCUGUCUCAGCUGUUAGUCCAAAUGAGAAAAUAAAAGCAUGCUCAAGCAAAUACAACACUGGGUAUAACAGAAAAUAAAAGCAUGCUGCAAUACAAAGACCUAUCACAUUCUUCCAAAAAAAAGUUCAACUUAACACAAUAAAAUAAAAGCAUGAGCUCGUUACGUAUAUAUCUUGGAUUGCUGUAAAUCUACGAAAUUUGUCGGAGCAAGUAGUAGAACAUCCUGGCAGUUCUUGCCUCUCCCAUUUGGCCAAGCAAUGGUUUCUGUGUGCUGCAACAAAGGCAUUGCUCUUUUGUGCUAUGAAAAUGAAACUUUGAAAAGCUAACACCUCUUCUACCAGUGAUUUGAAUACGUGAAAAGGACGAUCCUUUCAGGGUAUUGAAGACUUGAAUUUCUUUUCAGAAAAUUCUUCAUCAAAUCGUAUACAGUACACACUAUUCCCAAAGAACAAUCCUUGAGCUUGUCUCAGCUUUUUGAUGAUCACAUUGGCGUCAGGCAUGGUUCCAAUGAAACGUUCCCCCCCCCCCCCCCCCCCAGUACCAAAAUAAUCUCAAUGUUUUCUAACUACAUUUAGAUCCAAAAUAUUCCUCUGGUCUGUGCUACUGAGAGCAUAUUUGUGCUGAUACAUAAGUUCAUCAGUUCAUGCCUACUCUCAUAGAGCACGUUGGGUCUUAUCUCUCCUUCACAAUACCAACUUGUUUGCUAAAAGUACAGUUUACUGAUUUUCAGUAUUUUUGGUAUUAGAUAAGAGUCUUCCUAAAAAAAAAAAAGUAUUAAAUAAGAGUCUAUAUAUGCUUUGUCCUGAUUUACAUCUACAGUAUCUGGUUCAAAAUAUUGGUUUACAGUAUCUUCUAAAAAAAAAAAAUGGUUUACAGGGCCCUUUCUUAUUCAAGUCCUUCUAGGAUCAGGAAAACAACGUACUCUAUUCUAACCCUCCUAGGUAUCCCAAUCGGGACAGGAUCGAAAAUCAUGCUGCGCAAUACAUACACAAAUACUGGUGUAUAUAUAUAACACUCAAAUACUUCAUAACACUAGUUCGGUAGUUAAUUAGGGCGUGAUGGAAUCGAAAAGAAUAAACUUAGGCGGUGUCCUUCCCCAGCUUCCUAAUGAAAUCCUGGAAGAAAUCUUUCUGAGGUUGCCCGGCGUCAAAACUUUGGUUAUACAAACAGCAGUGUGUAAGUUAUGGAACUCGCUUAUCAAAACCUCUGCUUUCAUUGAAGCCCACCAAAAACGCAACCAACAUCAUCACCUCCUUCUGAUACAGGCAAGAGCAGCAGUCAAAGUACAAGGGAAAGGGGAUACUCGUCAUCUUUUCUAUUUGCUUUGUGAUAAACCUCCAUUCAAAGUGUAUAAAAGUUAUUACCAGCGUAUAACUCAUCCGUUUGUAGCUUAUGACAGAUUGCAUGCAACAUCCCCCGAGGAGAAAAUAGCAAGUAUCAGAAAAUUUGAUGUGAUGGAAACUUGCAACGGCCUAGUGUGUCUCGUCGCUUCUUCCAACUAUACCGCCUUGGUUUGGAACCCUUGCAUUAGAAAGCUUGUGAUGCCGCCCAGGAUCAACACCAGCCGUCAUGAGAUUAGUAAGAUUUCACAUGGCUUUGGUUAUGACUCGCGUACCCAUGAUUAUAAAGUUGUGAGGAUUGUGAGAUAUUUGGCUUGGACCGGACGGAAAACCUCAUACGAGAUUUGGUCUCUAGCGCAACCCUCCUGGAAGGCUCUUAGUGUUCUUCCUCCCGUAGACGACUUUCGUCCUAGUUCGCGUUCUAUCUUUGUUAGUGGUGCUGUUCAUUGGGUGCAUGGCAGGGUGCAUGGCAUUUGGAUGCAUGAAGCAAAUCCGACCAUUGUGUCCUUUGAUAUGUCCGAUGAAGUAUUUGGUGAGAUAACGAUGCCUCAAGUCAUGAUGAUUAAAAGCCAUCGCAUUAUAUCAAGAUAUAGGAACUCCUUAGCAGUUUUGCAGUGGGAUUUCGUUUUAGAUGAUGCGAAACAGAAACAACUUGACAUGUGGGUUAUGAAAGAGUAUGGCGUGGUCGAGUCUUGGACUAAACUGUUAACGGUUAAAUUGCCAGAGUACAUUCACAGCAUCAGACGGCUUGGGUUUAGAAACAAUGGUGAAGCCUUAAUCAGAUAUGUCAAUCAUCCUAGAGCUCGGAAAACAAGCCGUCAUGUGCAAAAAUUGCUGAAUCCUCAUAGCGAUGACAUUGGUGAUUUUGAAGCCCAGGGGAGCAGGUUCCUUGAAUACAAACUUGUGGAGCCUUUUGUAGAAAGUCUUAUCUUGCUUGACCACCCUUCUGCAAUUUCAACCAAUAUUUUAAAAGGGUAAGGCGUAGCCGAGGCUUUUUUGGGAGAACCUCGUUAAAGCGUAAGCCUUGAGGCAUAAGACGUGAGCCUUACAACAUAUAAGACAUAUGGUACUCUACAUGCACUUUCUACUCUAACUACCACCAAAACUAAGAGCUGCACAUGUUUUGGGUUUGUUUUCUGCACAACUAUGUAAGCAAUUAUAUUGCUUUAGAACUUGACAUUAUUUAAUAUGAGUUUAAGAUAUAAAGUUUAUAUUAUAUAUAUUGUUAUUCGAUAAGUUUGUAAGAGUUUUUGAAUGCAAAAGAAAUUGCAGUUAUCAAGUAGUUAUCAAGCAGUUGAAGAACAUGACAGUUUUUUUAUGGAUGAAACAACCAUAACAGCCAUGGCUGUGCUCUAUAUAUAUACAGGAAUUCUCAGGUGCGGACGUCCGCACCUAAGUUUUGGUGCGGAUUUUCAUUUUUGCACCACUUCCCGAUCGAAUUUCCUCAAACUUCCUUCUAGACAUAUCUAGAUCAUCUUGUGUAGAUCAUUUCUGCAAAAUUUCAGCCAAUUUGGUGAUCGUUAAGGCCCUCAAAAUCGAAAAACAAAUCUGACGGACUGAAUUUUGUCCAGUUCAUCAUCUCCAUUUGUUUUUCGAUUUUGAGGGCCUUAACGAUCACCAAAUUGGCUGAAUUUUGCAGAGAUGAUCUACACAAGAUGAUCUAGAUAUGUCUAGAAGGAAGUUUGAGGAAAUUCGAUCGGAAAGUUGUGCAAAAAUGGGAAUCCGCACCAAAGUUUUUUUGGUGCGGAUGUCCACAGCCGAGAAGGACUGUAUAUAUAUAUAUAUACAUGAAUUCUCAGGUGCGAGCGUCCGCACCAAAGUUUUGGUGCGGAUUUCCAUUUUUACACCACUUUUCGAUCGAAUUUUCUCAUCUUCACCGUUUAGUAUCUAGAUAAUAUUGUGUAGAUCAUCUCUGUAAAAUUUCAACUAAUUUGAUAAUCGUUAAGGCCCUCAAACUCGAAAAACAAAUGGACGGACUGAAUUCUAUCCGGUUGUGUUUAUACCAGAAAAACUCGAGUUUGAGGGCCUUAACGAUCACCAAAUUGGCUGAAAUUUUGCAGAGAUGAUCUACACAAUAUUAUCUAGAUACUAGACGGUGGAGAUGAGGAAAUUUGAUCGGAAAGUGGUGCAAAAAUGGAAAUCCGCACUGAAACCUUCGGUGCGGACGUCCGCACAGCUUUACGGUGCGGAUUUCCCUCUGUUCGCCACUGUACGGCGCCGGCGAGGGCACGCCUCCACCCCAGCGGACUCCAGCAGCUUCCCCGACCACUUUCCAUCCCCGGCGAGUCCGCCAAGUUUCAGUUUUCCGGCCAAAUCACCCAAAACUUGAAACAAAGUCAAUCUGACCGGAAAACUAGAAUUCAGCGGACUCGCCGGGGAUGGAAAGUGGUCGGGGAAGCUGCUGGAGUCCUCUGGGAUGGAGGCGCACCCUCGUCGGCGUCGUACGAUGGCGAACGGAGAGAAAUCCGCACCAUAAAACGGUGCGGAUGUCCGUAUCUGAGACGGAUAUAUAUAUAUAUAUAUAGUCUCUUCCUAAACAUACAAGUUCUAACAACAAGUCCCAUAUACUUGGAGAACAUAAGGCUGUAUUAAGGAGAAGGCUAACAUGGAUAACACAGGUGAUUUGCAUACAAUGAUUAGUAGAUUUUCAUAGACUGUAGACUAGGAUACAUAGAUUUCUUUUUAUCCUAAAAGUACUCAGCAAAACAUACAGAUAUUAUAGACAAGUUCAUAGCUUGAUUUGAUCUAAUAUAGUCUAAAAUAAGGUUCAAGUUUUGAUUCUAACCUUUCAAACUAAGCUUCUAAUUGGAUCAGCUUCACAUAAUCAAUUGGUUAAUACCUUACUUGUUCGGUAAACAAUCUCAUAUAACCCUUGAAAACCUUUCUUUAAUCUAUAAAUCAGUAAACAUCAUCCCCUAAUCUAUAAAUCAAAUGUACUAAACAAAAACUAACCAAAUAGCAUUUAUACAUGAAACUCCACAAAAUUACUAUCCUUUAUGCAUAUUCCAUUCAUAAUUUGAACUAAACUAAAACUCAAAUGGUUUACUUGUCGAAUUAAUAGGAAAAGAUAAGAAAGGAUAUAUGUGAUACUUAUCCAAUUAGUUUCAAACGCCAACAUCAACUAGAAUGUCCUCCUUGGACGCUCGAACCAACAGACCACAAGAAAGCUGCUGAUGAAAAAAAUAAAAUAAAAAAAUUUUAGGCAUGCGCAUAAGACGCCUUAAGCAGCGCCUUAUAAACGUUUUGCGUCUUAAACAGCGUUUUCUUAGCUGCAAAGACGACUCUUUUAACUCUGCGCCUCACGUUUUUUUGACCCUAAGGCGAGCUUUUUAAUACAUUGAUUUCAACCUUCUAGCUAAAAGAGAUCAGGAAUAUACAUGGGACAUGAAUUACGUACAAAACCAAAAAAGUUAAAGUAUGGUAAGUUCCAAAUUACCCGCUGGUAAAAAUUCUAAAAUAGCAUCUAUACAGUUGCUUCCCUUCCAGAGGCUUCCAGCAUUUCGAGCGCGCAGCAUUAGUUUCUUGCAGCAGCAGCAACCUCCCCAAGCUGCGUCCAUGUCGACCCAAACGGACCAGACCCCAAACCCAAGUCCCAUCCCAACCAAGAAACGAACCACCCGGAAGAGGCUCCGACCUUGCAGCAACCACAGCUACGAGCUCACCACCUUUUGCCAACCGGGUCGCCCGAUUAGUCCGACCGGCCCAUUCCAAGACAACGUUGUCGUGUUUCUUCAACAAUGUGCGGAGCUCACUGACUUUAGAGUUCAAGGCAUGAGUGUUUGGUUCACUCUUCUUCGUAGCCGUGAGUGUUUGGUUCCUCUUUUUACUAUUGAAGAGACCGUGGACAACUCCAAGACCGAGUUCUGUGAUCACUGCUUGUCAACUGGUUCGACACUCCUACCUUAUUUUCUCUACAUUCUUGUGUUUCGGUAACUUUUUUUUAGCUGGUGUAGGGCUUAGUGCUUUAUGAUUCUGGUUUUGGUUUCGAGAAUUUCGGCUAUAUGUUUGGUGCAAUUUGUCUAUCUUUUUCUUGUUGCUGUGGAAAUGUGGUUCGAUCGAAGUUGAUGUAGUCGAAUUGCAGUACUUAGAUACUAGGUUGCUUGCUAGACAUAGUAGUUUUGGUUCUGAAGUUACAUACUUUUCUGUCUAGAAAUUGGGGAUUUGGGGAAGUUUAUAAUGCAAGACCUUAGGAAUGUUCUUAAUUUCUUGAUUUCCUUCACUACUCUAGCAGUGUUCAACUAAAGAUGACAACUUUUGAGUACAUUAUUCGUAGCGAAUAAGUCUGGAAAUUUGAGGUUUUAAAGUACUAGUCUUUACCUUGUUCUCAUAGGAAAAGCAACUGGUUAUGCCAACUUAUCUGGCAACUUGCUGUUUGAUUCUUUGUGCUAUGCCUCUGUCAUACCAGCUUCUGUUCUGCAAUCUUUGGUUUUGUUUCUUUGCUUUUUCUGUGGCUGUGGCGUGACAAUUUUAUGUUGUUUUUGUUUAGAUUGGAGUAACCAUUUUGUGUCAAAGAGAAAGUACCACAUCAUAAUUCCCAAGGAUAAUUGUUGGACUAAGCCUCUGAAUGAUAGUAUCUUGGAAGACACAACACAUCUGUUACAUGGAAUGAUACAUUGUGAUGGGAUUGGGCAUUUGCUAUGCAUCAAUGGACUCAAAGGGGGUUCUGAGCAUUUUUGCGGCAGAGAGAUCAUGGAUCUUUGGGAUCGGAUUUGCACAAAUCUUCGAACCAGGUAACUGAAACUACUUAUUUCUUGCUGCUCUUAGGAUUACAUUAUGGAAAAUCGAUGUACUAGUUGUACUGUAUCUUCUCUGUUGCAGGAAAAUUACAGUUGAAGAUUUCUCAAAGAAGCGGUCCAUGGAACUUCGACUGCUCCAUGGAAUUGCUUAUGGACAUGCUUGGUUUGGUAGAUGGGGGUACAGAUUUUGCUAUGGGAGCUUUGGGGUGGCAGAAGAAACAUAUGAAAGAGCACUUGAUAUUCUCAGCUCAAUAGAGCUUGAAAAGAUCAUCCAAGAUUUUAGUGACAUGGAACAGUGUGAAGAGCUGAAGAGAAUAAUUCAUUGCUACAAACAUUGGAGUGAAUCAAGCUUGGUUACAAUCAAAGACCUUCUCAAAUUUAUGCUCACUGUCAAGGCUGGCAUUCCUGCACCUAAAAAAGUCAAAAUGCCGCUAUUGCGCACUGCUUCUCUUUCAUCUUGCACUGCACACCGGAUCAAGCCCAAGCUAUUUGCUGAUGUUAUUCGUCACAGAUCCGGCCGCCAUCCUGCAAGAAGACUAAAGAUAGCUGCGGAUGUGAUUGUGCAUGUAUUGAGAGAAAAUGAAAAGAAAGGCUUUGUGAAUGGUGAGAUGGCCAGGCAAGAUUUAAGAGAUGCAACUCUGUUGCAUAGUCAAAGAAGAGGGUUGCCUGUUAGAGAUAUAGGUUUGUUGGAUAACGUGAUAAGCAAGCUGGACAAUGUGAUAAUUGGGAAUCACAUUGUCUGCCGCACACUGCACACACUGCCUAGAACUAAGAUUAAAAUAUGGAAAUAUACCGUUCAUGAUCUUCCUGGUGUUUACAGUGAGAAAGAGUUACCUCCCCAAUCACUUCCAUCACAAGCUCUAGUUCCUGAUGUUUACAGUGAUGUGCUUUACUUGUACAAGAAUGUACUGUUGGCAUAUCCUGAAUCCAAGUUGGUAGAAUUGGCUACUCAAGUGGUGCUGAACACUAGACACUUUGUAAAGGAAUAUCGAUUCGGGGAUAAGGAUGAGCAAGAGCAGUUCCUUGACAUUCCUUUCCCAAGUAUGACUGAUAGUGGUAAUCAUGCUGAAUCAGGAAGCUAUGAGUGUCCACCAGGUAUCGCAACAUAAACGCUGCUGUGGAAUGGAGGAUGCUAAUGAAAUCUGGCAGCCUAAAUUUGAGACUGCUUUUAGAUUAGGACUGUUCUCCUUGCUGUUUGGUCUGCAUUGAGUACUACUGCAAACUGCACACUGACUGAUAUGUUAUGUGCUGGUGUAAACAUGAUGAGUCAUUGAAUUUAGGACUAAUUUCAGUUUACCCCAUCAACUUUAAAUCGAUCGUCAUGUUAGUCCUUCUUCUUUCAAUUUCAUCAAAAACACCCCUCAACUCCCAAUUUUCAUCAGCUGCGCAUGUCCAAACCUCUAAUCUCCAUCAAAUUCCUCUGUCAAGUGAUGACUUGAUAUCAAGAAGAAAAUCAAAUUAUGAAAGUUACCUUUCGGACCAUUUUUCCCCCAUAUCGAAACACAUCUUUGUUCCAAUCACAACCCCCUAACCUUAGUGAUUUUGGUGGGAUUGAAUGCAAUUUGUCUAUUUUUCCAUUUUUCUUUCUUCUUGAUAUCAAAUCAUCAGUUGACAGAGGAAUUGGAUGGAGAUUGGAGGUUUGGACAUGCGCGGCUGAUGAAAAUUGGGAGUUGAAGUUGAGGGGUGUUUUUGAUGAAAUUGAAAGAAGAAGGACUAACAUGAUGAUCGACCUAAAGUUGAUGGGGGUAAACUGAAAUUAAUCCUUGAAUUUACAUAAACCUAAAAAUUUUGUUUCUUCCAUAUUGUAGAUACGUAUGAUGUUAAAGCUUAUUAUCUCUUCUUUCUCUUUGGAUUGAAAAGCUUAUAUAUUCUCUUGAACACACUCAUUCACUGCUGUUCUUUUGCCUACAGACAAUUUUUUCAAGUUAAAUCUGAACUUCUGACUAUGGCUAUAGAGCUAUACUCUCUUUGGAGAGGAGUUACACUAGUUCAUGUUCAAUGGCUUAUCAUUAUUUUGUUACCUUGGUUUCAUAUUUCUUUUUUUUUUUUUUUUUUUUUAGUAGUAUCAACAACUAUAUCCUCAAAGGAAAAAUUAUGAUUUAACUUCAAUUAGCGUCGGUUGAGAUUUGAACUUAGAUAUGGUGGUUCCACACCUAGACUCUUACCAACUCGACCAGCUGUGAUGGUAGUUAGUAAGAGCAUCUCCAACAGCUUCCCCAAAAUUUCUUUAAAAUGGGGAAGCAAAACCUAAAAUCUCCAAAAAAUUAUGAUCAAAAUCCAGCAGCUUCUCUAUUUUAGAGAUUUCGGCAUUUAAUACAACAAUAAAAUAUAAUAUAUCAUCAUUAAUUAUAACAAAAAAACAUUAUAUAUUGCAUUGUAACAAUAAACUACCCAAUAGAAUAUUUUAUUAUUGUCUUAAAUUCGUUGGAGCACGUGAAGAAUUUAAUUUUGGAAAGAAAGACUUUGCUGCAAAUUUGGGGAAUGAAGGCUUCUUUUUCUUCUUCAUCCCCAUUUUGGGGAAUGAGAUGGGGAAGCUGUUGGACCUAAAAACAACUUUAUAUUCUCCAAAAUUGAGAAGUUCAAAAAAAUGGAGAAGCUGUUAGAGAUGCUCUAACAAGGUGGUUAGUAACAACACAUAAUUGAGUGGGAGAAAUAACCCAAAAUGCCUUACUUGAUCAAUAAAAGUGACAUUUAUUAAACCUUAAGAAAAGAAAAAAGGAAAAAGAAUAAGAGACUAUACGAUGUCAUUUUGGUGCUUCUAUGUAAAGGUUGGCUCCUUCAGUUCAGCCAUUUCACCUUUUCUAAUUCCAUAUCUACUACCCAAAGCUUCUUGCUUUUCUCACUUCUCUAUCAAAUUGUGCACCAAAGUUCUAAACUUUACGCUUCAAGAUGUCCUAUUUGUUCAAAUGCUGUUCUGGGUUUCUGGUUAUGGCUGCGUUUUUGGUUCUGGGUUCGAUCAAUGUCUACGCUUUUGGGUCUCCGUCUUCUUCAGAGACCACUAUGCACACUAACAAUUGGGCUGUUCUUGUCUGCACCUCUCGCUUCUGGUAAUUCUAAGCUUCAUUUUAGUUUGAUCAAUCUGUAUUUACAGUUUUUUGUGUAAAGAAUUGAUACCCAUGUUUUAGAUUAUGGUUGUUUGGGUUCUUGUGAAACUUGUAAGGUCUUAGUUUUGAGUUCUUAGACAUAAUUGUAUUCAAAUUCUAAGUUGUGCAAUAUCAACAAUGCAGAAUAAGAGAAGUUGAAAGAUAUGCUUCACCAUUUUAUAGUUUGGAAUCAAAGUGGUGCCAGAGUUCUAAGUUAACUUCAUCUUAGGAUUGGUUUAAACUUGUGUGAUAGUCAGCUAUUUUGCGGCUGCCCAUAAGUUGGUGUUGUUGGAUGUAAGAAACCCACAGAGAUUUCAUCUUUUGUUCUGCAUCAGUACUUUAGCUUAAACAUUACUCUAGCAAAUACAAAAGGGUACUAAGACAAGUAGUUACAUCUUAAGGGUUCAUUCUAUGCCGAUAUUGGUUAAGACUUAAGAAUCAUACUGAGGUAGUGCAAAAAUCUUGAAUGGUAAUGUACUUCAAGCUUUGAUAGCUCUAUACUUCUAUUGAAUGGCAAUAUGACUUUUCUAUUCCAAAUGGCUUGUUUUUCUGUCAGGUUUAAUUAUCGACACAUGGCCAAUACUCUAUCCCUGUACAGGUCUACAACACAAGCCAUUCUCCUCCUGGAAGAUCCUCUUUUCUUUUCUCAUGUAGAUAGUUACGUAUGCUUUGUUUUGAUUUGAAGGACGGUUAAGCGACUUGGAAUACCUGAUGAGAGGAUAAUACUUAUGCUGGCAGAUGACAUGGCCUGUAAUGCUAGAAAUAAGUACCCUGCCCAAGUUUUCAAUAAUGAAAACCACAAACUGAACUUGUAUGGAGAUAAUGUUGAGGUGAGAUUUCUUGUUCCUGGUUAGGUUGUUUACUGUUACUCAAAACAUAACAGUUUCCCAAUUACAUUUUUUAAAUUCCAAUCAUGAAAUUAAUUAAACUGAUUCUACCAGGUAGAUUAUCGAGGUUAUGAAGUGACUGUUGAAAAUUUUCUACGUGUAUUAACUGGGCGCCAUGAAACUGCUGUUCCAAGAUCUAAGCGUCUUUUAAGUGAUGAAGGAAGCCACAUUCUCUUGUAUAUGACUGGGCAUGGAGGAGAUGAGUUUUUAAAAUUUCAAGACUCAGAAGAGCUCCAGAGUCAUGAUUUAGCUGAUGCUGUGAAACAAAUGAAAGAAAAGCGUAGGUAAGAAAAAUUUACCUCUGCAACUGUUUCUAGACAUACAUACAAUAGUUUGCAUUUCUUAUGAUAUUGUCUUUUUGAAAUCUAGUUUGGUACAUUUUCAUUUAUGUUUUGAAUGUAAUAUUUUUAAAAUGUAGCUCUGAUGAGUGUCAUAUUGAUUAUCACCACCAGAUAGAACUCAUCUAACUUCGAGAAUAUGACAGGUUCAAGGAGCUGCUGAUAAUGGUGGACACUUGCCAAGCUGCCACUCUCUUCUCUCAGGUUUGUGAUUUGCUCUACCAGUGCAUGAAAUCUAGAUACUUUUAAGUUUUUACUGUUAGAUUCUGAGAGCUAUAUUAUCUUGUGAGAAUUGUUGGGGGUACUUUUGUUUAUGUACAAUCUCUGUUCUUUUGCAUUUGCAAGAUGCCCUUCUCAAUAUCAUCUAGUCACUGGUAACCAAUUGGCGAAGUCAUUAUUGCACUUUAAAUAUGUUUUUCACGUGACUAUUUUAGUAUUUUGCCUUAACCUGGUCUGUUUGAGAAUGACUUUGUUACUAAAUUAAAGGUCCCUUUCUGAUUUGCAGCUUCAAUCACCGGGUGUUUUGGCUAUUGGAAGUAGCCUGAAAGGAGAAAAUUCGUACUCGCAUCACUUGGACUCGGAUGUAUGGCAUUGCUAUCAUAUAACCUUUGAAGUCAUUUGGCUGAGAAUGCUAUGCCAUGUUCUUUAAUUUAACUCAAAUCAAGGUAUUAUAUACAAUGUACUGUGUAUAAUUUCAUUCUUGUUGUACUGUUUGAUUGAUGCAGGUUGGUGUCUCUGUUGUGGAUCGUUUUACAUUUUACACACUUGCAUUCUUUGAGAAGCUAAAUAUGUAUGCCAAUGCAUCCGUGAGCAGGUAUAUUCUACUGAUAUGAUAGACUGAUAGACUGAUUUCAUGUUUGACUCUGCUGAUAGGGAUGUGUUUAUCAUCUUUCCACAUCUUAGUUCAUUACAUUCUUCUCUUGCACCUAUAUGCACUGCUAUCUGCUUUCGCAUGAUACAGACCACCGCCCGCCCCCCCCCCCCCCCCCCCCCCCACCCGGGAAAAAUAAUAAUAAUAGUAGUAAUAACAAUAACAUUCUAUCUGAAGGUGGUUUUCUGUUAUAUCUGUAGCUACUUAAAAGUAUUUCUCAGUAAUGUAGUCAAAAUAAAGGCAUUCUUGUGUCAAGAUCACAGUUGCAGCAUUUAAGAAUUUCUCCGCAUGUUUCUCAGUUAGAAUAACUUCAGCCAGACUUGCUUUAAAAUUUCUCCUUUGACUGUACUUUUCUGUAACAAUGUUUGCCUAUGCCUACUUGAAAUGAUUGUGACUCAGAUCAAACCAUAUAGUCAGGGAAAAAAGCCUAUGUGAAUUUGACUCUUCUUCCACUAUAGUGGCUCAUCCCGUUGAACAAAUUUAUACCUUAAAAUCAUUUUAGAGAUAGUAUAUAUCGACUGAGUCCUUUGGUUAUUGUUUUUCAGUCUUUUUAAUUCGUAUCACCCAAGCUUCUUGAUGUCAACUGCAUAUUAUCGAACAGAUCUAUACCAGCGUCACCUUGAAGAGGUAUUGAUAUAUAAACUUAUCUUCUCAUUCUGAGCUAUAGGAGUGGUUGGAAAUAUUUUGUCGUUUUAUGCUAAUUAUACUGUUUUGGCUUGGACCACUUUUCACCUGUAAGAGUGCCUAGCUUCUCAUGAAUCUUGUUGCAACUUGAACUGUUUGGCAUGUUUUAUCCUAACACAAUAUCAUUUAGAUGUUGUAUCAUACUGCUUCUUGAGGUGCCUUUUUCAUAGUUGCAAAACUGCUUUGUCAAAAUAUUUUUUCAUAAGGCUAUUGACUGAGCUAUAUUUCAGGCUUAAUCUUCAGCAACAGCUAUUUCCUUCAUAAAUUUUACUGAGCUAACUUCUAAUGUGCAUUUCCACAUGGAACACGUUGGUAGAGUAGCAACCUAGGAGGUUGAGAUACUAUUUAUUGACUUUGAUACUUGCUGCUAUAUUUCAGGCUUAAUCUUCAGCAACAGCUAUUUCCUUCAUAAAUUUUACUGAGCUAACUUCUAAUGUGCAUUUCCACUUGGAACACGUUGGUAGAGUAGCAACCUAGGAGGUUGAGAUACUAUUUAUUGACUUUGAUACUUGCUUUCAGGUACCUGUGACAAACUUCUUUGGAUCAGUCAUGGAAACCAUACACACUGAUUCAGCCUAUAAAGCCCUUUCAAGGAAAAGUUGCCGCAGAGCUGAAAUCAAUACGCCCUCUGAUCAAUCCGCUGAUGGUGAUGAAAGAACUUUGGCAGAUUCAAAUGGUCAGGAUCAAUUCAGUGAUUUGAAGAAAGAGGUGACAGUUCUAUAACCCUUUGUGUUAAUGCAUGAACCUUUGUUUCUCUGCAACACUGAUUAUGGGAAGGAAUGAUCACUGCAGGAUGAACAAAGUGCUUUCAGACAUUUGUGGAACACUUUCAAUGACAAAGUCAGAAAAAUUGAAGAUGCGGAUUCAUUUGUGCAGUAUGGUUUGCUAGCCAUGCUUCCACUAUUGCUACUUCCCACAUGGUUAUCGCAGUGAAAGUUGGCUUUGAGAAGUGAGAGAGACUGAGAAAUAGAAUCUGUUGAUAAGUUAAAUGGUGAUGUAGUUUUUGUUCAUCUUUAGUCUGUUAAUUUUUCGGAUUCAAGCCAUCCAGCGCUAGGUGACCGCAUAAUGGCAAAAUGAGGUUAUAUUAGGAUAGGUACACGAGUCCAAUCCCUUUCGAAUAUCAAUGUAACAUUGUGUUCUAAUUGAACUGUGAUAUGAAUAUUUUAGUUGUGAAGCUCCAUGGAUCAAGACGCCUGAAUAUACUGAACACCGGAGCUUGUUAGAUUUGUACUAAAAUUACUUGCUAUUCUCAGAUUUGCAAUUUGAACUUGGAAACAGUUUAUUGACCUUUUAUUUUUUUUGGAAACAGUUUAUAGACCUAGUGUACAAUAGGCUUGAGGUGAGUCGAGAGUGAUACAUGUCCAACUAUGGGUACAAAGUACAAACACAAAAAUGAAGACAAGAAUCCCAAAAAUGAUAAUUUUUCACAAAACCCUUGUCUGUGAUGAACAAAAAUUCCAUACAAUGGUCAAUGGUUUGACCUACUGAUCCUCUCUGGACAUAUAGCAGCAGCCAGCAGGUAUAGUAUUAUAGUGCCAUUAUUCCUCACUAUUACCAAUAAACAAACUAAGGUAGGCCCAGACUAACAAAACAAAAUAAACAUCCCCAACCAAAGCAAAGCAGCUUCAGCAGCAACAUAGAGAAAACAAGAAAGAAGAGGAAGAAGAAGAAGAAGAAGAAGGAGAUCACCAUGAUGCACUACAAGGAGGUAUAUAUUUCCUUCACCAUUUGCAUUGUAGUUUCUUGGGUUUUUCAUUAACAAGCUUAAAUCACUGUUUAGAAAAUCUUGUAAUUGAAAAUGGGCGUCUGGUGAUGAAUGUAUUGGCAGGAAAAAGAGGCAAAGAAAGAAGCGUUCAGGAAGUACUUGGAAUCCAGUGGAGUCCUUGAUGCGCUCACCAAAGGUCUGUUGCUCUCUUUUGUCUCUAUUGAUUUGAAGCUUAAUCAAGUCCUUUCCUUUUUGUUAUUUUGUGUGAAAAGAUUAAAUUUUUGUGAUUAAUCGAUGUGCAUUCUCAUUCAAUCUGUCUUUUCCUGUUAAACAUUUCUGGGACAGUUUUGGUUGCAUUGUACGAGCAGAAUGACAAGCCUUCCUCUGCGCUCGAGUGAGUUGAUUAGUUUCUUUGGCCCUUUGAUCUAAUGUAAUAUAAUGCCAAUCUGUUUCAAUGAAUAUCAAUGUAGAUGACUAAUUGCCCAUAUAAGUUUAUUGGUUAUUCAUUCGUAUUAGUUUGUUCAGUUGUUGAAAGAAAGAUAUUAGCUUUUCAUUUUAUGGGCAGUUUUGGGCUCUCUUCCUAAUAUCUCAUUCCACAAUAUUGCUCAAUCUUCAACCUGUGUUUGUGAUAUGGCAGGUUUGUUCAACAAAAGUUAGGAGGUCCAUCUAUUUCUGACUACGAGAAGCUGCAGGCUGAACUUUCGGAUUUGCAGAUGAAGUAUAAUCAACUUUUCGCAGCUUACCAAGAGACAAGUGCAGAGGUAUUCUUCUCCUUCUUGUAAUUUGAGCUUGGUAUAGGCAGAGGCCAAGAGCGUUUUGGAUUGAAAUGUGAAGUUCGAUAGCUAUGUAUGAUGAUAAAACUGUUAACUAUGUAUCAAAUGUUGAUGAAGAGGGAAAAUUUGUGAAAGCUAUGUUAACUAUGUAUCAAAUGGAAUUACUGAAUAUGAUUGGGUUUAGUAUGCAUAUUACACUUUUGCACACUUAAAUAGGAGAAAGGCAAGAGUUCAGACAUAUAAGUUAAAGGAUUGUCCUAAGGUAUUACCCAUAGUUCUAACUUUUAAUGGCACAAUAACUCACAAUUUCUGUUAUUUGAAUGAUCAAAUCUAUACCGAGUAAUGAAGUAUCAUGAAGAUAUAAAUCUGAGAAGAUGUAUGGUUGUCUAUUACAAUUGGCCACAAAGGGUUGUCUAUUACAAUUGGCCACAAAGGGAAGGCAUGAGCUGCAGUUCAUGUAUCCUUCCCCAUCAGGAAUGCAGAAAGCAUGUCUAUUAGACCUCCUUAUUUGCUUAUGUAAUAUGUCUAUGACUGUUACUGAUCUGAACAUUAGAUACUCCUCUUUUUUGAUGUGUGCUGAAAGCAUGACUGUGAAGAUGUGGGCUGUCUAUAACUUUCUUUUAGAACAAUUCUUGUUGUGGUAGGAUAUUUGAGAAAUGUAGAAUGAGUCAGUCUGCUAGGUUAACACACCAAGCAUGUGUGAAUAUAAAGCUUGAAAGUUCACCUCCUCGGUGUUCUCCUGUGACUUAAUAUAGCCUGCAUCUAAUAUUAAUCUUCAUUUGAACUGUAUAUGCCCCAAAGUUCCCUUUUGCUAUAAAUCUAUGAGCUCACAAUAUGCACUUUAUUGCAGUUGGAGGGCCUUAAGAGCUCACAAUCGAAUACGACACAUAAUGAGGCAUCAGGUUCUACCAAGGAGACCACUGCUGAGGAGGCUCAAAAGGAAAAUUCCUAGAAAUUUCGGCGGAGGAUUUGGUAAAUUGUUAAGCAAAGUAACACCUUUAUUUCUGGUAAAUAUAUCGGUUGUUGUAUGCAUUCGGUUAGAAGAGUUGGUGAUUUUGUGAACUGAUCUGUAGCGAGUCAUCUGCUAAUUUAAGAUCCUCUAGUGGUCUUUCUUUGAACUCAACUGUUUGGAAAUAUAUUGUAUUGCCUUUUCAAGAUAUAACUUCAGUUUUUCUCGGGCUUAUGUCUAAUUUCAGAGUUCAUUGUCACAUCUUGUGGAGAAAAAAGGAAAACAAAAACUCCAGUGACUAGAACAUGUGCAAGGAAAGCCACAAGAGACCACCCUCGAAAUGUUACAAACUUGCAAGUUGCAAUUAGAUAAAUAUUGAGUUCAUCUAUGUCAAUCACAUUCCUGACUACAGUUACUUCAUUCCUAACUUCAACUAUUUGCGGUUGACAUUGUCUGCAUUUCUUGAAGAAACUCGGUACCGGACUACCGGCUGCUAACAGAAUAGUGAAGCUAGCAGGACAACCAAUACAACUGAGGAAAUUAAAGCCUGCAGAAAUUACACGAAAGUUAGAGUUUGAUUUAGAACAUUGCCGUAGCAAUUAGAUUAAAGUAGUAAUUCUGGUAUCAUUCUUACAGCAAUUGCAGAUGCUGCAAGGCCAGGUCUCUCUCUAGGGUCUUUAACAUAAUUCCCAAAGUAAAGCACAGUUGCAUAGUACCAUAGUGGAGGAAAAGCAAAUCCCAGUAGAAACCUGCUAGGAAAAAAGCACUUCUCAAACUCAUCACAACAUCAAAUCUUUGUCCCUUUGUUCCUUAAAUGUAAGGGAAAAGUGAAACACAUUUGGAUUAGAACUCACGAGAACCAACCAAUGCCACAACCAAAACAUGAAAGAGGCUUAUCAUACACCCCAUCAGAGCAUCUAUCCUCUACCAAAGCCGACUCUCCUCCUCCAUCAACUUCAAGUUUCACCAUUUCUUGCUUAUCUCCAUCUGGAACAGUUACUACAUAGUCACAUACGAUGUAUCAGUCAAAAAAUGGGAUAUGGCGAAAUUCCCUAUUGGGUAUCCACGACCAUUCACUUCUUUUCCUUCUCCAUACAGGGAACACACCACAUAACUCGAACUACUAACUUCUACAACUUUUCUCAUUCAUUCUUAGAUUUUGAUUUCAGGUUUAACGCCUAGCACAAGUGCACAACACAUCACCCUACUGAAAAAACACGUACAUUUGAACCAAACAAAGACACUCGAUGGUAAAACUGACCUUGAUGAUCCUGUAAUGUGAUCCCAGUGGUGUUAUUGGAUAUGUGAGGGGGUGAUGGUGCUUCUGUCAUUCUUGUGUUGCUGGUUAAUCAAAAUGAACAAAUCUGUAACAUAAGAAACAUCUGCACUGUUUGAAAAAUUACACACUUCUUUGAUCUAAUGAACAAAGUUUUGAAGAAAGCCAUGCCAUUAUGUGAUCAAUGUUCAUAAACUUCAAGAAGGAAAAGGGUUUAAAACCAGGAAGGAGAAAGAUGACAACUUCCUGUAACUUCCCACUUUUUUGUUUCUCGUGGAAAUCGACGGUUACCUCAUUUUAACCGAACCGUCUGCCUCUUACUGAUUGGACUUAUGGAACAACCUUAUCAGUUAUCACCAAUGGCCAAAAAGAGAAACUUUUUAUCUUUUUUUUUUUCUUUUGAGAAAAAAUUAUGCAAUUUCAAUCCAAUUAUCAUUCACAAAACUAUAAAUAAUUUUGGGAUUUUAACCCCACAUAUUAGGUCAAUGUUGGCUUUAGGUGUGUGUAUUUAGGGUUGUUGCUUCUUGGUGAGCUAUCAAAUUGAUGAAAAUUGACCAACCUAGACAAAAGCCCCCCACAUGUGUGUUGUUCUAGACUUGGAGUAAAGGCAAUAAGUUCAUUACUGAGCUCUCCUUGGGUUCUUAGUCAUCAAGAGCAUGACGGUGACUAUUCCCAUGCCAUUGGUGUUCAAGAUUUAAGGUUUGAUAUGGUCGGCAUUGGUAUAGUUGAAACGUGACGGUUUAGGUGUACGCUAUUGGAUCAAAUGGACGAGCAAGGAAGACGUAUUUUGCUACUCUGAUUUUAGGAUAUUGGAUUGACGAAAUUUUGUUUAGGCAAAAUCUUAGCUUAUUGCUACUGCUCAUCUUUGUCGAGACAACCACUCAAUAAGACUGAGUUGUAUUAGUCUAUUUAUUGAGUGAGAUGACAGUCAUGUCAAUCAUUCUAUUAAUUUCUCAUUAAGCAUCUCUAACAGCUUCCUCAUUUUCUCGAUUUUCUUUAUUUUGGAGAAGAUUUUAGGUGUUUUGCUCCAACAUAUUGCCUCAAACUUCUCCAAAAUGGGGAAUGUGAGAAAAGAGAAAUCCAAAUUCCUCAUAUUUACAGCAAACUCUAUAAUUUUAUAGAAGGAUUUGGAGAAUGAUCAUGAAAUCUCUAAAAUGGAGAAUAUGUUGGAGUUAGAGAAAAAAAAUUGUUUGAAGCAUUGACUUUUAAUUCCCUAUUAUAGAGAAAUUUUAGGGAAGUUGUUGGAAAUGCUCUGAGUGUUAAACUUUUGAUAGAAAAGAAGAUACGCGAUUCUCAUCCAUCGAAUUAACUCAUUUGAACACAACUAUCCAGUCUGUCUUUAACAGACCUCUAGACCGCUCUUCGUACAUUGCAUCGAACGCAACACUGUAACGCUCUAAUCUAUCCGUCAUAAAUCGACCGUCAACAAAAUAAUAAGAAUUUCCAUAUAAUAACCGACUAUGCAAUAGUUGGAAUUUCUCUUCAUUUUAGGAGAAGUAAAUAAAAACAUAAAUGGAAACCAAAUCAAACAAAAAAAAUACCACAAACAAUGGUGGUAGUCAAGAUCACAAUCCAACGGCUCAAACCCUCGCCACCCAAAUAAAAAAACCUCACCCACACCAUAAAAGAAACCAAAAUUCCCCCAAAAAAUCGAAACGAGAAAAGAAAAAGAAAAAAGAAAAUAAUUUUUUUUUGUGCAAAAUUCGGGAGGAGUCGCGCUUUCUCUCUCUAAAACACAAACCUCAACGACAACAACAAUGGAACCAAACGAACACCAACUCAGCUCCUACUUCCACCCCGCCAACACCGCCGCCGCCCUGUCUUCGCCGACCAAUGGCCUCGUCGGCGGCGGACCAAACACCCAACACCACCAACAACAACAACAACAACACCAACAACACCAACAGCUCUCCUCGGCCGACAACAACAACAACACCAACACCAACAUGGUCUUCACUCACUCCUCCGCGGUCCCUCCCCCGCCCACGUCAGCCGUGACGUCACCUGUCGAGCCGGCGAAGAGGAAGCGCGGCCGGCCGAGAAAGUACGGCACGCCGGAGCAGGCCUUGGCGGCGAAGAAGGCCGCCACGACGUCGUCUCACUCCUCCUCUAAGGUGAAGAAGGAGCAGCAGCAGCAGCAGCAGCAACACGGCGGCGGAGGCUCAGCGUCGCCGUCGUAUUCCGGGCCCACCAAGAAAUCUCAGCAGCUCUCAGCUAUUGGUGAGAUUACCCUUUUGCUUAUCGUGUGGGUUUGUUCUUAAAGUUUUGAGCUUUCUGCUUUUUCUGAAUUGGGUUUUAGCAUUGUGUUGUAAAGAUUGAAAAUUUGGUUUAAUAAAAAGACAGUAGUAGCAGUAGUGAAUCCUAUCUAGAGUAAGACAGUAAAAAUUGAUGGUUUUGACUGUAUUUUUCUUUUGGGUUCGUCUACAUUACAAAUCGGCAGAGGAUAUGUAUGGUAUGGUUUUCUUGGAUAGGAUCUUGUAAAGCCUAAAAUGACAUCAAUAAAAGCAAUUUACUGUGGCAAUGGAAAAUCUAGGUAUAUCCCACAGGGGAUUCUCUUAUUAAGUGGCUGCAUAUCUGUUAGACCCGAUGGCUUUACAGUUUAUUGGUGAUUGUUUCUCAGAAAGUUUCUUCAUGUAGGACAAUGGGAGCACUGAUUUCAGUGAAAGUUCUCAGUGACUUGUUGAAUAUUCCCUAUCAGUUAUCUGUUUUACAAGCUUCCGUGCUUAUGUAUGUGAAGGAUAGUUAACUUGGCUAUCAGUGAAUGUUUGGUUGAAAACAUUCUUGGUUUUAAGUUUUCCAAGUGCCUGCAUACAUAAAUUAUGUCUCUUAUUUAUACUUGUGAGGUGAUGUCUGUAUAUCAUAUUUGUUUUGGAAAGGGAAGAGAAUCGUGAUUUGUCCAAGUUCUUUCAAUAGUUCUAUGAAAAAAUAAAGUAGGCUGGACACUGAACUUUAGCUGCUAGAUGCCCCAUGUUUUUGUGGUUUUCCGUUUUUUUGUUUGAUUGUUUAUUAUAUCAGAACUUUCCCUUUUACUGCUAUUCCAAGAACUCUGAUGAUUGGGAUGUCACAUUGUUUCUACUUAUGAUACUAUGCUUGUUGAGUAACAUGCAAAAGGGUGAUGGUAACUCGACAACAGACCUUAAUUUCAGUGUGGAUCAAACAAUCCUCUGUUUUAUUGUCCACAGAAAAAAGAUUCACUCUCUGUUUUAGGAAUAGCCUUUGUUUUUUGCAGUGUCAUGUACAUUUAGAGAGCAUAAUUGAUAAGCUGAAUAUAAACCUUGGUAUUUGUUGAACUUCUAUUCUUCCACUUGUAUGCUGUUUGGUUUUAAAUAUUGUUCAAGUACCGUUACUUUUUGACAAAGUGAGGUAUUCCUAUAUAUUAAUACUCAUGAUGGGCCUUUUCUAUUCAUGGUUGAUGCAGGCAAUUCAGGGCAAGGUUUUACACCUCAUGUUAUAAACUUGGUUGCAGGAGAGGUAUACCUUUUAUUCUUACUAGAAGAUAAGAGUCUUUGUUCGAUGGACUAAGAUGUUGAUCUUUAAGAUUGAAGUGAGAAGUCUUAUGUUUGUCUUCUCAUCUAGUAUUCAGAAUGACUUUUUGUUUGUUUGCAAUAAUUCCAUCUCUGUAUGCAUUGACUUUGAAUUUGGCAUCUGUUUAAUACUUCGAUGGAGAUUGGGUCUGAUGGUGUUCAUAGUUCAUACUGACUUUAGUCUCGUAGGUAUAAGGUGUUACCUAACUUUGUUAAAUAUUCUUGUUAUUUAGUAGAAAUUAACACUUUAGUUGUCAUUUGUUACCUUGGUUAGUUAUAUAUAAUGACUCCUUUCUAAAUUGAUUUACAUCAUUUGAGUUUUUGAUAUAUCUUUCUAGGAUACAAUCUUGAGUUUACCUUUCCUCUCUUUCUUCUUGUUCAUCUUUUCUACAUUCUCUUCUACAUCAUAUCUUUCAGUUUUUGCUUGAAGCUUCACUUGUUACAUAGAAUCUUCCCUUUUCUUCCCAAAGUCGGAAACUCAUGAAUAUGUUAGAGGAGUGUCACAUUUUUUCACUUGUGAAAUCACUUUCACCUCAACCAUGGUACCUACUAUCAAAUUGUAUAUACAUAUAACCUAUCUUACCUUGUUGAUGACUUUAUAUAUAAUUGUCUUUUGGUUGUCUUUCAUUAAUUUGCUACCAACUCACAAAGUUUUUGAAUUUCUUGAACAGGAUGUGGGCGACAAAAUCAUGGCUUUUAUGCGACAGAGUAAGCGUGACAUUUGCAUUCUGUCCGCUUCUGGGUCGAUCUCAAAUGCAUCUAUUCGUCAGCCAGCUACCUCAGGAGGAAAUAUUACAUAUGAGGUAAAACCUUUUCUGAGUUUGAUGUUUUUAUCUUCUGUAUCAUUCAUGUCAGAACUACUGAGCUGCACUAUGUUACAUUUUGCACCUUUAAGUCUUAUAUUGUUAUCUACUUGUUAAUGUAUGUCUGUGUAUAUAGUGCUACUAUUUAACAAUAAUAAUACUGGAUUAAAAAGGAAGAUUUUGCUUCCUUACCAUCUGAGGAAAAUCAAAAUUAGACACUGUCAAAAUAUGAGAUUUUGCUUUCUUUCUUUUUUACUCCCAACAUGUUGGACUUUGCUGGUCAUUUAUUCAUUUACUCAGUUAGUUGUUGUCUUAGAGGGUAGGCAGAAAGGUACAUGAUUUUUGGUUGAUGUCAAAUUGAGUUAAUAAUCAUGUCAAGAGCGCAAAGUAGAGCGUUUACAUUAUUCAAAAGCAGUAACUCAGAUAUUUUUCGCUGCAAGAUACUGGAUUUGAAAGCACCAGUGUCUUGACUCUAUAUGCACAAAGCAUAUGAUUGAUGGGAAAGUUUCAAAUUAGAAGAAUCUGAUAACGCGCUAGUUAAUCAGGUUUUCUUAAGGCCUCUCCUCUGUUUGUGUGUGGUUAGGCAGGAUAAAAGGGGUACAUGCUACAUAGCAAUGAAUUUACAAGUAUCAUAGUGUGGAUUUUUCUGUUUUAUUUUUUUCUAGAACUUAUGCAUAUUAAUUGAGAAGUUAUGCCGGUAGGCCUUUAUCUAUCCAGAAAUUGUGGAUGAGAUGCAAAAGACAUUAUAUGUUUCAUUAAUCUGUUCGAAAGAUUGGAUUUAUAACAGUUGAAUUCUUCAUAUUGCCAGACAACUUCACAGAUUUACAGAUUAAAUCAUUGCUCAUCACUACUUUAUGUUCAGUUUAUCAAGGUAUAAUGAUAUAUUUGUCUUAUCUGAUUGAUACUAGGGUCACUUUGAAAUCAUUUCACUGUCGGGAUCAUAUGUACAUACUCCUGGGGGAAAGACUGGUGGGAUGAGUGUGUGUCUAUCUAAUACAAAUGGCCACAUUUUUGGGGGUGGAGUUGGUGGACCAUUGACUGCUGCAGGCCCUGUUCAGGUACAUAGUUGAAAAAGUUUCUACAAUAUUCUCUACUUCUCUUGUGCACAUCUAUGAAAAUGAGUAGUUACUUCUGUGCUAAUCUUAUCUUAGUUGCCACUGGUACAUUUAGAAACCUCUUAAAUGCAAUGUCUACUCUUUUAAGUUGGUGUACUGAUUGAUUUUGUUGUUUGUUCCAUGGACAGGUUAUUAUUGGUACUUUUCUGAUUGAUAACAAAAACGAUGUCAAUACUGGUGUAAAAAUGGAGGUGUCUAUCCCCAGGCUGCCAUCACCUGUUGGUGGUACAUCUAUGAUGAAUGUAGGUUUCCGCUCAGCAGUGAACUCUUCUGGAAGAAAUAUGGUCAGGGCAAAUGAUGAGCAACAGCAAGCUAUUGGAGGAAGUCAUUUCAUGACUCAGGGCAUGCAUGGAUCCGCCGAUUGGAGGGCUGGUCCAGAUGUCAGAAGCACUGGUGCUUAUGAAUUGGCAGGUAUAAAGCAUAUUGGUCCUUCUGUACCUUAGCAAUGAUUCAUAUAUAUCAAGAAUAUACACCUUGUAACUGAAGCAAGCUUUUGUUGCAGGAAUAGGUGGUCAUGCAGCCCACCAAUCUCCGGAAAAUGGGGACUACGAUCAAAUUCCAGAUUAGGGAUUGUUUUUUAGAUUUGAAGGCUGUUUUGUCUUAGGUAGAGAGAUGUAUAAUACAUAUCAGCACUUUUUGUCAGCCUAUGCUGCCCGUAGCGUGCACCAUACAUUAGAGAUGACGGAUUAUGAAAGUCAUGCCUGUGACUCUGGUGAUUGAGAUAUUUUCCUCCCUUCAAAAUUGCUCAUUAUGUGUCUUAUAUUGAAUCUGUCUCAUUAUGUGUCUUAUAUUCUCACCAAAAAAAAAAAAAAAAUAGUGUCUUAUAUUGAAUCUGGUAGUUGAAGUUUGUCCAUUCCGAAAUUAUCAUGGUAUUGCAUAAGCUUUUGCACUUUGUAUUACAACCUGAUUUUAGAUGAGAGGUUCACACCAUCUUAAAGUGUUGGGAGUUCAGAGGAAUGAGAUGUCCUUUUGCUUGUUAUUUUCUACUUCAAACUUAUGUUUUGAAUCUCUAAUGAUAUGAAUAAAGCAAUUCAGAGCAGACUAAAAGAGCACGAGAUGAAAUGCUUUAAAACUUAAUGGACGACAAUUAACAAUCAUUCAUGGCGCUCUUGAUUCGCCCCGAGUACUGGUUUAGUACUUUAAAACUGUUGAACAUACAGAAGCAACAUCUAGUGUUGAGGUACUAGCUAUUUCCUAGUGCACAUACGGUUUCUCCGGCAGACGAGUGCGCCGGCAGCAGAAGUUAUGGCUCUGACUUUGGAUGAUUUCUGAGCUUUGACAUCGCUCGAGGCCUUAGCAUAGGCCUCCGAGUUAGCUCCGGUUGCCCCAGACUCAACAAAGUAGGCACCAUUCAAGAACAAAUCUCCUUUAGACCUCCAAUUCCAGUUCUUCCACUCCGACUUGUCACCUGAUGUCCUCUUGGUAACCUGAUUGGAAUAAGGGUACCUUUUCGGAUCAGCCACAAAUCGGUUGCCUUCGCUAUUGAUGGUAGGGUUUGCACUUCCGCCGAUGGCAUAUAUUCCCCAGCCACUGCUGUAGUCAUUGUUCACCACAUGACAAUAACCUUGCCUACAAUGUGGCAUCCUUUGCCGUAGUCCUUCCCCAAAGUGAUUGUAAGCAACAGUCACUUGCAUGACCUUGUCUCCCUUAUAAGAGUUGCUGUGACCAAACAACAUGACCUCAUUGUGGUGCCAUAAGUCAUUGUUCGAGAUUGUGACUGCAGUUGAGGCCAUGACAACAUCCACGAGGCCGUCGGCACACUUGGAUAGCGAGUUGUGAUCAAUCCACACGUCCCUGGACCCGAAAAUCGACACGGCGUCACCAUCUGCCAUUCCUCUCCAACCAAAGUGUGACGGUGUGCUCCUCACCAAGGCAUUCCCCGUAGGCCUGCAGCCAUGGAUAUGGAGGCCAUGUAUUAUGAUGUGCUUGAUGUUUUGGAUCGUAAUGCAUGCUCCAUUCGCAAUGUGAACAUUGGCUCCUCGGCCGUCAAUGGUCUUAUAGCUGUUCAUAAUGAGCUCCUGCUUGAGCUGGAUCACCAUGUCACGCUGGAACACAAUCCAUAAGGGCUCGGUUUGUAUUACAGCAUGACGAAUAGUUCCAGCUCUAGGGUUGACGGCAUCAUUGUCACUAGGGUCAGUGACAACGUAGAACUGCCCGUCGCGGCCGCCGAUUGCGUUCCUGCCGAAACCAAUGGCGCAGGCCGCGAGGCGCUUGCGAUUGUUUAACCAGUUGGUGUCACAUCGCCAACAGUCGUCGAUGGCAUUCCCGGUUACACAUGAUGAGGGUGACCCCCGGAGUUGCAUGAGCUUUCUUUCAGUGCUGUUUCGGAUGAUAAUGGAGACCAUGGAAGCAACUUCCUCGGGGUCAUCGAGUGCUGUUGGUGCAGUUCGUGUUUCGGCAAUGAAGCUGAACACGAAGAGAGCCAAUACACACGAACAAAUCAUUCUCUUGCUCCACUCGAACACCGCCAUUGUUGCUCUUUUUCUCGAACCUAGCUUUUGCCCCUUUCUCAAAAUUUCACUAGCAGUUAUUUCUAACUGGCGGCUAACAUGGAGGCUAGUUUACCAUAACAAAUUGAGGUAAGUUCGGGUGUUUCUUUCCUAGGUGGAAGAGAACGUACUCCUAGAAUCUCAUUGGAAUUAAUUUACUAUAAAGUUUUUACUUGUUUGAUUUCUUUAUGAAUGAGCUUGAUUGUUAGGAAAGGGUGCAGUAAAUCACAACGGAAAUCCAGUUGGAAGCAGCCCUUUUCUACAUGCUAUCUUAAAGCUCGCCAAAUGAUGAGAUUUUUUCGCAUAAAGAAAGGGGAUCAAUAGCCACCUAUAUAUCUUGUAGUUCAAGUUAUCCUCUUAAAUCUAAUUCAUCUGAUUACAUACUCUUUGUAAAUAGAAGAAAAUAUACAAUUUUGAUUGCAAUAUCUAUGAUUAACAUCUUUUACAUUAUGUGGCAUUUCCCAAAUUCACACUAAUAUAAUUUAUAAGAUAAAACAUUUCAGACUAAACUUCUUCACUCUUCACCAGAUUUGUGGUAGGUACAAGUGUAUAACACUCUCCCUCCAAAACCUCCCAAAAACCAUAACCAUACUCUGCUCAUGUCAACUCUGUAAAUGACAUAUGAGAAGUCAUUUGAUCAAAUUCGACUUGGAGAUGUUACUCAUACUUUUAUGCAUCUCAUAUAGGUUAAUGAAGUAGUUGAAUUUCGUGUCUGUAUAUGGAGCAACCAUAUCCAAGUUUGUCUCUUCUUAAUGGAAGCAUAGAUAGAGAUUCCUUCACUUCUAGCUUGUACAAUAAUCUUUGUUAGUCCAACUCGACAUGUUUGAAGUUUUCUUCUUCUUAGUUCCGAUGUUGUCUUCUUAAUCUCCACUUGUUAUAUAUCAUUCCUGCAAUUGAAUUAGUUUGGUAUUUUCUUUUCAAUUGAUUAGCUAGGCAGUUGGAUUAGUAACAAAUCAAAUAAAAGUAUCCGCCGGAAAGUCAAUUCUCUGUAGCAUUAGCAGUCUCUAACCCUCUACGCUACUUGAAUCAAUUAUCUAUUACAAUUUGAUGUAUAUGAAUAAUGAUCGAACACGUCAUAAGAAAUUUAGAUAUUCAUUUAUGAAUUAGAAACUUGAAAGUACAAGAAGAAGUUUGUGAUUGACUGAUUGGUGUUGGAUGAUCAUAAUAUACAGAGUACUAAACAAACAAGGUCUUAGGAUCAAUAUCGCCAUGUCCUGAACAGCAUCAUCACAUAAGUCCAUGACUAGCUCCAUGCCAUGGCCAACACUCAAAAGCUGAGACUGAAGAUCUUAAACCAAGAAUAGAGAGAAACCUGAGCACGUGACACACGUGCUGCUCCUUAACCGCCUUUACCUUAUAACUGCCAAAUUCGCCACGUAUUCCCCCUCUCCCCUCCGCACGAUCAAAACCCAUCGACGGUGGAGAAAGUCCAAACCUUUCUGGAGGAAGAAGACGGUGUGUGUGUCUGUGACUUUGCUUAUUUGCGGCAAAAGUGUGUCUAGGUUCUCUUCACGGACGCGUGUGGGUCCCACGCGCUCCUUCCCCCUUAAACCUCUCUCUCUCUUCGUGAGCAGCGAGACCCCUUUUGUGAGUCAGCUCCUCUGUAGAUGGGUUUUGGAUUUACUUUUUCAAGCUCUUAGCUCUAUUUGGUCUCUUGGGUUUGUUCUAGCUAGUUCAGAUUGUGAGUUUGGUGCUCAAAGUUUGAGUCUUUAUUUGCUUCAAGUGAUUGGUUUUGCUUUCAACACUUAAAGUUUUGAUCUUUGACUUGUUUGAUAGUGAAAAAUUUGAGCUUGUGCAUCAGAGGAGCCACGAGUUGUGUUGUUCUAUUCACUUUGUUUAUUAGUUCAAUUGUUUUAGGAUUUUGAUAAGCAAAAGAAGCAAGCUUUGGUUUUUACAUUUCUUGUUUGUGUUUUGUGGUUGAAGUUAUCAUAUGCGAUUUCUUCACUUGUUCAAUUUGUUUUAAAGGGUUAAUAGAACCCAGAAAAGUAGCUUUAGAGAGCAAAUUGGAUUGUGGAAAUAGAGAAUAGGAGUUUUGCUUUGUCGGAGAUGGGUAGGUUUGAUUUUGAAGUUUUUGCAGGUGGAUAUUUCUGUUUUUGUUGGAAAACCCAGGUGGGUUUUUUUAGAUCUUAGAUUAUGGCAUUUGAGUUUUCAAAACACUUGGUGGGUUUCUGUUCCUUUCUCUAUCUUUUUUUGUGUUUGUUUUCCCAGUGAAUUUUGGUUCAUCAGUUUUGGAAGAUGGUGAAUGAUAGUCACUUGGGUGUAAUGUUGAGAGCAGUAGCUAUUGGGUUGUUAGUUUCCUAUCUAGUGGUAUCUGUUUCAGCCAAUGAUAGUGAAUUUGCGAGUUGUAAUUGUGAUGAUGAGGGUUCUUGGAGCAUUCAGAGUAUUUUGGAGUGUCAGAGACUUAGUGAUUUCAUGAUUGCUAUAGCGUAUUUUUCGAUCCCUAUAGAGCUCAUUUACUUUGUCAGCUGCUCAAACUUUCCAUUCAAAUGGGUCCUCCUUCAGUUCAUCGCGUUUAUAGUCCUCUGUGGAUUGACCCAUUUGCUCAAUGCCUGGACUUAUUAUGGCCCUCAUACUACUCACUCGUUCCAAUUGAUGCUUGCCCUCACCAUUACCAAACUCCUCACGGCCUUGGUCUCGUGUGCAACUGCAAUAACCCUAUUAACUCUUUUCCCUCUUAUUCUGAAAGUCAAAGUAAGAGAGUUGUUCUUGAGGCAGAAUGUGUUGGAGUUAGACCAAGAGAUUGGGAUGAUGAAGAUACAGAAGGAAGCGAGUUGGCAUGUUCGAAUGCUGACCCAGGAAAUUAGGAAGUCACUCGAUAAGCAUAACAUUUUGUAUACAACGCUGGUUGAGCUUUCAAAGACAUUGGACUUGCAUAACUGUGCAGUUUGGAUGCCUAAUGAGAACAGGACAGAGUUGAACCUGACUCAUGAGUUGAAAGGGAGUUCUUCGAGAAAUUAUAGUCAUUCUAUUCCAAUGAAUGACCCAAAUGUGUUGGAGAUCAGAGAGAGCAACAGAGUAAGAAUCCUGAGGCCUGAUUCUGCACUUGGAGCUGCAAGUUGUGGUGGUUCUAGUGAAUGUGGUGCUGUAGCAGCAAUCCGGAUGCCAAUGCUUCGAAAUUCAAAUUUCAAAGGGGGUACACCACAGUUAGUUGAUACUCCUUACGCUAUAUUGGUUUUGGUUCUUCCGAUGUCAGAUUCUAGAGUUUGGAGCUAUCAUGAAAUGGAGAUAGUGGAAGUUGUGGCUGACCAGGUUGCAGUGGCACUGUCCCACGCUGCAGUACUUGAAGAGUCUCAACUAAUGAGAGAGAAACUGAGAGAACAAAAUCGUGCACUACAGCAGGCUCAGAAGAAUGCAAUGAUGGCCAGCCAAGCAAGAUACUCAUUUCAGAAGGUGAUGAGUAAUGGAAUGAGAAGGCCGAUGCAUUCCAUUUUGGGGUUGCUGUCAACAUUUCAAGAGAGUAUGAGUUUGAAACAAAGGAUUAUUGUAGACACUAUGGUUAAAACUAGCUAUGUUCUCUCCACUUUGAUAAAUGAUGUCAUGGAGAUGUCAGCAAAAGAUAAUGGAAGGUUCCCUCUGGAGAUGAGGCCUUUUCAACUUCACUCCAUGAUCAAAGAAGCUUCUUGCCUCGCCAAGUGCUUGUCUGUGUAUAAAGGCUUUAGGUUUGAAGUUGAUGUUCAGAGCUCAUUGCCUAAUCAGGUGAUGGGGGACGAAAGAAGGGCUUUCCAAGUAAUCUUGCAUAUGGUUGGAUAUCUUUUGAGCACCUAUAAGGGAGGAGGAACUGUCAUCUUUCGGGCUAUUCUAGAGAGUGGUUCUGAGACCCCGGAUGAUAAAUUGCAACAGAUGUGGAGAACAGGUACACCAGAUGAGUACGUAUCUGUGAGGUUCGAAUUGGAGAUUAAUGACGGAACUUCUCAUUCCAGUGGAGUAUCAUCGAUGAUUGAUUACGGUGGUAGGAGGAACAACAGCAGUGAAAUAAAGAAGGGCCUGAGCUUCAACAUUUGCAAAAAGAUUGUCCAGGUAUGUACUAUAGAUGAUUGAUCUACUUUUGUUUUACUUAUGUAAGAUUUCAAGUCAUAUUACAUUUGUUGCUCAGAAGUGAGACCAGUUUCUUUUCUUCUUUUUUUCUGUUAAUGACUACAUGAACUAGGUGGUAGCACCGUAUUAGUGAUCAUUUUUUUGCUAGUUUUUAAUGGAAGUCAACUGUUUUACAUCUAAGAAGGUUUUGGUCUGGUGUUUCUAUUAAGGGUCUGAAUAAGACAUAUGUAUUUACUUUUGCAAAGCAAAAUGGUAUUGGACACCAUAUAUUAACAUUUGCCUUACUCUAAUUCUUUGUUACAUUAAUUCAGACUUAUGGAACUGGUUCUACUUUUGAUAGAUGUUCGUAUAGUCUUCAUCAACUCUAGGAUCAUCAUUGCCUUCUAUAAUCAAGGAAGCCUUAAAAAUUUCUAACUUGUGAUAAGUGAUGUUGAGUAGAUGCUGUCCAAAGUACUAGUAUAGGGAACAAGUUAUAUCUAAGGCAGAAAUAAAAUAAUUCUUGACCUAUUUGCUUAUAAAACAUUGUAUACACUUCAAUUCGAGUGAAAAGUUUGAUACUUUGAUUCACUAUUUACAGGGAAGAUUAUUUAUUAUGUGAUAAGCUUUUCCUUUUAUAAAUCAGCAUUCUCUUUGCAUUUGAAGCUGUUAAAAAACAUAUUGCAUCAUAUUAACAAAUUUCAAGAAGGUUUUCAAAACUAUUACCAUUAUCAUAGCUUGCAUCUUUGUCAGAUAAAUACCCCUUUUUUUCAUUCUUUGACUUGCUAAAAUUGUCCGCAUCUGUCAAUUUACAGUAAAAGAACAGAAUAUAUUAUCUCAGUAUGUUGGCAACUUAUGAGUCAUGUGUAAUGAAACUCCUGCAGAUGAUGCAAGGCAAUAUCUGGAUAUCCAUGAAUCCGAUCAAUCUCGCAGAAAGCAUGACACUUGUUCUCAGGUUUCAAAUCCUUCCUUCUUUAGGGAGAGGAAAUCCAUUGGAGCAACCAAAUUCCAACUCAGAGUUCAGAGGACUCCGGGUUGUAGUAGCGGACGAUGAUAAUGUAAACAGGACCGUGACCACAAAGCUGCUCCAGAAACUUGGCUGUCAAGUCAGUGCUGUUUCUUCGGGGUUUGAAUGCCUGAGUACCCUUAGUAGUGCCGAAAGUCCUUUCCAGGUUGUUGUUCUGGAUCUUCACAUGCCUGAAAUGGAUGGAUUCGAAGUGGCAAUGAGAAUCAGGAAAUUCCACAACCCUAGUUGGCCGCUGAUCAUAGCCCUGACCGCAAGUGCGGAGGAAGAUGUGUGGGAGAAAUGUCUACAGAUGGGAAUGAACGGACUGAUCCGAAAACCUGUCAUUUUGCAAGGGAUGUCAAACGAGCUCCGGAGAGUAAUGCAACGAGCCGGUGAAGGUUUGUGACUGAGGAAGCAAGUCAUAAACUCCAGAUCCUCUCAACUCCAAUGACAUAUAUAAAACCGAAUCUCCACUUUAGAUUUUGCUAACCAUGUUCUUCAUAUUACUGGUAUUAAAUACCAAAUAAGUAUGAUAGAUUUACAUAUGAUAGUUUUAUAUGAUGCUAAAGCCAAGCUAGGAUACUCAUAUUCAUGUAAAAGUGACAACAAUGUUAUGAUUCAUCUACUGAGAUAUUUCACUCUCGCACUCGAUUCAAAUCGAUUCUGUUGCUCUAUGAAAUUCAGUUCACUUGAGCUUAUGAACUUACCAGCUAAGAAAAUUUGAUCUUACCAAUACAUUAAGCACUAAAUUACUAUGGUAAAAAAGUUGAAAAGUCAAUUUUAGUCUUUUCUAUUUACCUGAUCAUCACAUGAUUCCAAGGACAAAGUGGACAUUCACUCCUGUCUCUGCUCUUAAACCUCAAUAGUUGUUACGUGAGGGAGGAAAGCGACGCCGUUUCUCUAACCUCCGGCGGAGAAGAGAAGAAAGAUGAAGAAAGCAGAGUACUUCAGCAAGGACUUUGAGUGGGACGAGCUGAGAGUUGAGGUGGAAAACGACCCGUCGUUGAGCUACCACUUGGUCCCAUUCGAGCCCUCUCUUUCAGUUGCAGAAGAAGAAGAAGCUGAAUCUCAGCCGUGGAAUGACUUUCAUCACCGCCAUGCAUCUGGGAAGUUCUUCAAGGUCUCUAUCUCUUCACCCUUUUCAUAAAGUUUCAAUCUUUGAAUGUAAUUCUAGUUGUUUGGGUUAAGUUCAUGAGGUUGUUCUAUAUAUGUGUACCCAAAAAUGUGAAUAGAGAAGUUUGAGUUUAUUAUAGUUUGAGGAAACAAUAUAAAGUUUGGAUCUUUAUGUGUGAUUAUAGCUUUAUAUGAUCAAUUGUGACUUGGGUUUGAAGUUUUGAGAUAAUUUAGAAGGACCCUUUGAAUCAGUUUUUGUUUUGGAUAGUUUUUCGGGUUUGAUUUGGACUUAUGGCCUUAAAGGAUACUUAUGAUUCAUUGUGAUUUUCGAUGCAGGAAAGGCGAUAUUUGUUGCAAGAAUUCCCUGAACUAGUUGGGUGUGAGGAGAAUUCUAAGGUUUUGGAGGUGGGGUGUGGUAAUGGCAGCACUGUUCUUCCAAUAUUGAGGUAAUGUUCCAAAAUAGAGACGAAUUUAUGUAGGUAUUGUUAUUGAUAAGCACUUAUACGCCUAACCAAUGUGAACUAUGAAUUUGCUGUUAUGACAUAUUUGUUUUUACAAGGUGCUUAUUUCCUUUGCAGGGGCAAUGAGAAAGUCACUGUUUACGCAUGUGAUUGUAGCACUGAGGCCCUUGAGAGAGUUAAGGAGACAAUAUAUGCUUCCAACAUUGUUUCUAUUGAGCAUCGCUUCCAUACAUUUUGUUGUGAUUUUUCUACCUCUGGGUUUCCAUCAUGGUUGGCCUGCAAUCCUUGUCAAGCAAAUUUUGAACAAACUUCAGGUUAAUUCCUGAUUUCACUGUUUAUAUUCUCAUACGUGAAUUCUAAUAAAUCCCUUUUGCAGUAUAAUAAAUUCAAUUUCUAUUUGUUUUUCCAGAUGGUAGAGGGAAAAACGAAAGCUAUCUUACUGAUUCAAGUUCAUUGAAAGAAAGCAGAUGUUGCAUUGGUGGGGUUGAUUUUGUUACCUUGGUAAGCAUUCUUUACAUCAAACAGUGACAAUAUGGUUAACAAUGGGAUGGUUGAGUAACCUUCUAAACUAUAGAAACUAAAAGAACAACUUGAUAUCUGAUCUCAGUAUUCUUGUCUUUUAAAAGUUGUAGCAGUUGAUAAAUUUUGAUGAUGCAUCUGCUUACCAACUUCUAUGUUCAAAGGCUAUAUACAGUACAAAGUGCAUUGGUUAUCAUUUUAAUAUGUGGCGUAUUACAUCAUAAUAUUAUCUGGCAUAGGUUUUCAAUUGCCAAUGUACAAUUGCAUAGGCUUUAUUAAUUCCUUUGCUUUUAAAUCAAGUUCACCCCUAUUACUUUUACUUUGCGUUUACUUUUUCCUUUGUGUCUGAUAUGGCUGCUUCAAUUGGUGGAAUUUGGUGAGUUGGUCAAUAGAGAAAAUCCUCCACUUAUCUGAGACAGCUCCCACAGCUCCUAACUCACUCAUCCUUGUGAUUAAUACCUUGGUUGUCACUUAGAACUUUCUGAAUACUUACAUCUAUCAUGAAGUUCUUGUUAAAAGGUACCAAAGAUAAAGCUUAUAGGGGGUAAAAUUACAUAGCUUGCUCAAAUAGAAACAGACCUGGGAAUUUGCUGGACCCCAAUUAGACUUUUUCAAAAUUUACUUAUUUCGCUUUUUGACUACUGUGUAAAUCUUAAGUAGGCUUAAGACUGGUAUUUCUGUUUCAGACGGACAUGGUGCUCCUCUGUUUUGACUUGUGAUUUGAGUUGUGAUAAUGUAAUACUUUUCCAACAUAAAAAAUAAUUUGUCUUCUUUUUUGGUGAUUUAAGUUCCUUAUUAUAAUGUUGAAUGGCAGAUAUUCACAUUGUCGGCAUUAUCACUUCAAAGGAUGCCAAAGUCCAUCAAUGAGUGUUUUUCUGUUAUGAAACCAGGAGGCCUGCUUCUAUUUAGAGAUUAUGGUAAUUGACCAAUUCAAAUCUGGUUUGGAUUUGGAGUUGUAAAAGGUCUUAAAGAGCUCUUAUACUUCAUUUUUUUUCUGGAAAAUUUUUCUCUAAUGUUUUUCCUGCUGACAGAAGUUCGGUGUGAUGAAAUUCAGGCCUUUAUGACAUGAGCAUGCUUCGGUUUGAGAUGGACAAAAAAGUGGGAUUCAGGGAGUAUAUGCGGUCAGAUGGCACCCGUUCUUAUUUCUUCUCUUUGGGUACUGUAAAGGAUCUAUUUUUGGGAGCAGGCUUUAUUGAGGUACAAAUGAGGGGAUUAAUUAUUUCAUCAUAUUGUCAUUACACCUAUUUGUCCAAUAAACUGGAAAUUAGAUUCUUUUAUCCCAUCUAAUUUAGUUUGUUCCUAUUAACUGGUGGUUGGGGUUAACUUUAGGAUUAAGAAGGCAAAGCCGAUAGAUAAAUUAUGCACCUGAUUGCUUUAAUUUUAAACUAAUGUUCUAUCAUCAUGCUUUUGUCAUCUUGAGCUUGAACACUGCUAAUGUUUUAUCAUCAUGCUUUUGUCAGCUUGAGCUUGAAUACUGCUGUGUCAAGUCGGUGAAUCGUCGAAAUGGGAAGAGCAUGCGAAGGGUGUGGGUUCACGGAAAGUUCCAAAAGCCUAUAUGAACUAUGAAGUCUAUUGCUGAGAUGCCUCUUGAAGAAUCCUGCAUACUCCUACUGUUACAGUGAAGUUUCUUGUAGAUAGCAAUUUCAUGGAUCUGCAUUAUGGUAAAGGCGCACAGACUUGGUUCUGGGUUGAAUAUCUGAGCAAAAGCUAUUAGAUCAAAGGCUGGAAUUGAAUGGAAAUGAUCAGAAUUUUUUGCCUAGUGAAAUCAUUGUGAGUCAUCUCACUGGAUAAUGUGCCCAUACAAUGAACUGUAACAAUGCACCAAGGUUUUAGGCUUUGAUUUUCAAGGGACGGUUUUCGGGACCUAAUAAGUAAUAACUCGAUGAGUAGAAUCUGAUAUGAAAGAUUGAAACAUAAUUGUACAUCGUCGAUGAUGCUAUAGAUUUUAUCAUCUCAUCUGCAUAAUAAUCCAUGGAACAAUAUGCGACUAACCCAGACAAUCAAGCCUUGUAUCCUUAGCUUUACUUAUAUGUCAAGCAACAGUUUACAAGCUCAAGUAUGAGCAAUGCCAAUGCAUAACUGCAUAGUAAGAACUAAAGAACUCACUCAGUCAGUCUAGCUACUGAGCUACAGCAAUGCUCGCAUCAUCCACGUUUUUACGGUUCUCGUAGUUCAACGUCCAUUUUCUUUGGUCAAAGGGGGAACCCAUACCCAGCUCCUUUGGAAUGGGUACCAAUUAUCGAACCAAUCUUUUUGUCCCAUCUUAUCUUACUAUUCCUACAUUUGUCUUUUCCAAAGUAUGAACCUGAACUCCUGAAGGCCAUGAACCAUGGCCUCUCAUUUGUCUGGAAAAUAAAAAUAAAAAUUCACGUUGUUUCUCUCUGGGGUUUCCAUAACCGUUCCAUUUCAAGCAGUGAUCCUAUAUUUAUAAAAAAUUUGCCAAUGAUAGAUGCGUAUGCAAUCAAAAAAUAUAUCUCAAACAAGUUAAGGUUGGCAUAUGGUACAACUUUAGUUUAUACAAGUAAUCUAUCAAUCAAAUCAUAAGCGACUCAAGUAGCUAUAGUGUUCCUCAUUUUAUAUAUCUAUUUUUGGGGGCUCAGUAAUAUAUCUUUGAUGCAUAUGAUAUCAAAUACGGUUAGGAUUGCAUAUGAUAUCAUAUGAAGGAUGUGCGUCUACGUUUUAGGAUUAAGGAAUAGAAAAGAGAAGCAAUCUGAAUUGAAAAUAAUGGUUGAUAUGAUAGUUUGAUAUGCGCAUACACUUUUCUAUAUCAGAUUAACAGAUUGAAAUGAUUAAAAGACGAAUGUGCAUCUCCACUGUUUGAGUUUUGAGCAUAGUUUAGGCUUAUCUAGCUGGUUUCACCUCGAGUUGUAACUUAAUUAGUAAUUAGUAUUCUGUUUGUUGCAAUUGUUUACUAUUGGCAUGCACAUCGUCGACUAUGUAUUAUAAUCUAACAGCAAAGAGAGCAUGAUUUGGUGUGUUAACUAUUUACGGUAACCUUAUUCUUGAUCAAGAAAACGAGAAUAUGUUAUUUUGAACUGUAUAUAUUUUUUUAGAUGUGCCGGACAUAGACCCGCAAGAACAAAGAAAAUUAACAUCGGAACUCAACAAAAACCAACUCAAAACAAAAGAAACUAAGUAAUUGACUAAAACAUAAGUUGGGAAGAUCCAGACAAUUACUAUUACAAAAGAAGAUGAUAUAAUCGACUGUCAAGUAGCACCAUAUUAUAUACUAGAUGUGUUCAUGUCAUGAUUAGCCAAACCAAUCCCACAUCGCUUUCCUUCGCAAAACAUAUCAGAAAGAGUGAAACUACAAUUGAGAAAUAUGGUGUAAACAGUUUCUCUAGUACAUACACCUAGCUAGCUAAGAUAAUACACCUAGCUAGCUAAGAUAAGUUUAGACCAACUUACUAAAUACGCUUCUAAGAUCUCCAUCACCCAUGUCAAUUCAAUGGAUCAUCACGACAAUAACUUCUGCGCAUCUUUUGUUAGUCACUUACAAUAUAAAAAUAGCGAAACACGUACCUAAAACAGAAUAGUCACUACACUCGAUAGCUAUAGAUAUACAUUUCUAAAUGCUAUAUAUCAUGACUUGAAUAUUUAUAAAGAGAAGCUAGAAUGUCAAAUUAAGAAGAAAGCAUACUUGGUACUAAUUAUUAAUUAACUAGCUCAUAUCAAUCGAAUAAAACUUGAAGAUGCCCUAGUUAACCUAUGGCAUCCAAGAGGCACUCGUAUGAAAGUUAGGUCAACUAUAUGAACUCGCCUGCAUAUAUAAAAUCCGGCCAAAACAACGUGCACUCCACGGCAGGUCCAUUCUAUAACAUUUUAAUCCUCUCGGUUUGCAUCACCAUCCGGUCAUUAUCAUAUUCAUCUCCCUCUCAGAGAGUUGGAAAGUGAUCGCCAAGUCACCAACACAUGCUCCUCCAUAUUUCUCCACUGGUGAUGAUGAUGUAUAUGAUUCCCCAAUAUCGAUUAAGCCUCACAUUAGUUUAGUUAACUUAACCAGUUAACUAGUCAGAUGCUCAACCUUAUUGGGUUGUCCUCAUUUGCUUAAUGCACCAGGUUUUACGGAUUCUCCAAUUCAAAGUAUUAUAGUUUAGUAAACUUAAGACGUCGUUCAAACAUGACUGGAGGCUUUUUAAAAUGUUGGUAAAACUACACCAGCAAAGACAAAACAACUACUACUGGUGCAGGAAAAAAGGAUAGGAUUAAUUUAUUUGUUAAUGUUAGUCUUAAUCCAUAAUUGUUAUCUUAAUCAAAGGCUAAUGGGGACUUAAUCAAUAUUAAACUACCCAAAUGGGGUCUGCAUAGGCGCAUUAGCAUAAACAAAGCUGCUUUACCAUACGAAUGUUGUGUGCAAAUUAAUUACUAGGAAAUAUAUAUACCAAAUCAUCAACAAAUUAGGGUUCAUAGCUAGAUUAAACAAAGACCAUGUGAAUCCAUGUGAAGAGGGUCCUCCAUGUUACCAAGAGAACAUCCUUUUUGAAGAGAGACACUAUUAUAUGAUCGAGUUGCGGUUUUGGUAUAAAUUACUUUAGUGUUUAGCCUCUUUCUAUAUAUGAUUUAACUUAUAAGAUCGAGUACCAUAUAUAGCAUAGAACGAUGAUCCAUUGUGGAAGCUCUAGUAGUUAAAUAAUUGAGGUUUAAGAUGAGACUUAGUUGUUAAACAUAUCUACUACUAAAUCAUAUGAUCUAAUCUUAAAUUUCGUCGUGCUCCUCUGCUCACUUCUUUUUAUGUCCCAUCAAAAUUAAAACACACUCUUUAUAUUAGCUUAGGGUUAGAAUUCAUUAUUUUAUAUACCCGAAGGUCUGACAUCUGUUUUUUAUGUAUAGUUUUAGCAGUGCUUAACUUUUUAUUUUUUUGUUGGAAUAUCCAACCAAACAUUGAUACACUAUUUCUAACUUGAUGUUACUGUUUUACAAUUAGAAGAGUCCCUUGUCCAUCCAUACUCAAGUGUGAAUAAAACAUCAGUGGUUAAUACAAAUUUGCUACAUAAAUAUUAGUGAAUCUCAAUUAGAAAGUCUAGGAAGGCUUGAUUAGUAAUUGACUAAUUCCAUAAAUCACAAGGCUAGUUAUAUUGCUCCACUGAUAUAACUAUUAGUAGUACUUGGUAGCACUUGAAGGCUGAUAAAUUGGUCAUCAUAACUUCCCAAACUCAUAUAUAACUUCCCAAGGAAUAACUUUAAAUAUUUGCAUGAUAAAUUGGUCAUCCAUUGCUCAAUUUAUACGCACAUUCAUGGACUAGAAAAUGUGAUAGAUGUCAGGAAGAACUUGUUGCAACUUAUUAUAGUAUAAGGCUAGCUAGCUCUUCUGUCUGGCUCUUCAAUUACACAUACUUUCAAUUCGGAUUUUACGUACAUAUAUAUAAAAUACGGAGUGCUUGGUGAAUAUAAAUAAUUUUAGAUAUAUAGCGGUAGCCAAAGUUGGACAGCAAUGUUGUACUGGUUCUAUAGAACAACCUGCAUAGCUAUUAGUUUAUAGAAAAACGUACAGCUAUAUACUUAUUAAAGUACAAGAGAAACAAAGGGGAUGAUCAAAAGAACUAGAGAAACAAAGGUGAUGAUCAAAGACCAAUCUAUAAGGUGGUCGAAAAUCAAAAAAUAAUGCAAUUGAGAGCGUCCAAACCAUUUUGUAUGAAUUGUUUUCACUUAUACUUCUUGCCUGCAUCUUGCCAGAAUUGUUUGUUUAUUCUGUUUCUUAUAAAAUCUACCAUUUCUAACAGACCGGUCAAAUCAGCCAAUUAGAUCGGUAUAUGUAAAAUUUUAAUAAUACCAGAUCCCACAAGAAUAUAUAAUUAAUUAACGUGCAAGAAUAAAAUACAAAGUCCAAAUAUUAUGAGAAAAAAACUAGAUUUAAAAUGCAUCACACUGCAGAUCAAGCUAGGAAAAUAUGUACCAUCUAAAUUAUAAAUUACAUGGUACUGUUAAUUUAACAAAUAUUACUAGUUGAUAUAAAUUAAGCAAUGGAGUACGUAGUAGAGUGUACUAGCUAGUUAGUUUCUAACAGAAGAGAAUUUCGACAAGGAUGAUGAUUAUGAAUUGCAAAGUGAGAGCUUCUAGCAUAUAUCGUUAUUGCAAAUAUACAGAGCAUAGUACUUCUCAUGAUGACGAUCAUCUUCUUCUUCAAUACCUCUAAAUAAAGUUCAAGCACAGAAUACAGCUAGAAAUACAUGCAGAGACCGCUAGCUCAACCUAAUUAAUUCCCUUCAAUUCUUCAUCUCGAUCUCAAAGUUAAGAUUUCAAAGAGUAGAGCAUCUUACUCUUUGGCUGAUUCGAUUAAAAUGGAGGUCUACCUCCACCAUGAGCCCAAUUUGAAUAUGCUUCAUGGCUCAACUGCCCUCCGCCGUUGGGAACCAAACUUGGUGGCAAAUUGUAAACCCCGGGCGGCAUAGAUGAAUUCGGAUCUCCCAAACUUCCACCAAUACCGGGUGGCGAUGAGCCACCUCCACCCGGCUGCCCCGAAUUCGGAGCAGGCGGCUGAUCAUCCUCCUCUUGAUCCAAGGGCAGUCUUUCAUAAGUAGCAUUAGAGAAAGUGGCUGCUAUUACCAUGACCGGUCCUGAAGCUACAAGAGGUCCCACCACGCUUCCUCCGACGACCUGCCCCUGCCCGCCGGCCAAGUAUAUCGUCAUUCCGGUCGCCCCCGGCGGUGCUGGCCCGGGAAGAAACGCUCCGGUCAGGGAAAGAAUCUCGAACCUUCCAUGGAGGGCCAUGACCGCUCCGGGAGCUGAAGGCUGCCUUAGCGUGACGUUGGUGACGGUUCCGCUUCCACUCAUCACACAGACGCCUCUCUGCCUCGCCCUAGCGAACUGCGCCACGCUCUCAGCUAUGUCGGCGCCGUUGGCGAUCUCCAUGACGUGGCUCCGGAGGGCGUUGGGGCUGUCCCUUGUGACAAAGAUGGGAGGUUUCGGCUUGUUUUUAGACCCCGGAGGGCGCCCUCUCGGGCGCCUGUUGCUGCCUGAGACUUCGAUGGCCCCCUCCUUGGGGUCGUCGCCGCUGACGUUGUCCCUGUCAUCAUCUUCGUCCCCGGCUGAUCCUGAUCCACCCCCACCACCCAGGAGGUGGCUGGUGGAGCUGUUGUUCAUGGAGAUUCCCAGAUCUGGUUUCAUUAACGUCAUCGGAGAGCUACUGCCAGCUGAGCCUUCGUGUUUCAGUCCUCCGGUUAAACCCACCUGACCAGCCCACCACGGAUUCGACAUGUUCUUAAUUAUACUCUAGUUAGGAGCUAGCUCGAAGAAGAAGGAACUACAGACAUACAAGGAAGAAAGCACUCUUUUUGUGAGCAACUAAUAAAGAGUGUAGUGUAAGAGAGAGAUCAGGAAAAACAAAGGUUCUGGUUUUAGGGUUAACUUAAGGAGGUGGCCGGGUGUGUGCUUUUGUUAAAGGAAGGACCUGAAGUUCAAGGCUUAUGUGUGUUUCUCUGAGUGAGAGAAUAGGUGAGAUGGAAAUGAUGGGGGAAUUAAGGUGGUAUGUGUCGGUCUUGGGAAUUAGGGUUUUUGUUAUUGCGUGGGGGUCACGUGCAUGCGCGUGACAACUGAGAAGGUGGCCUGCACGAUCCUACAUAAGACUGGUUCCCUUUGCAAUUGCAAAGAGAAAAAGACCGGUGAGGGAAUCAACGAUCUCAGAGUUUCUGAGUUUUCAUAUUCAUCUGCUUAAUUUCAUAGGUCAAAGCUUGAAUCAACUGAUCACCUACUUCUCCCUUUCUAGCUAAUUGAUAAUUAUGCUUACUUGCCACGAAAGUUCUCUGUAUUUGGAGUUUGUGACCGCAUUCUGGUUUUCAGUUUUCAGUCUCCGAUCAAUAUGUAACUGGCUAGUGUAUUUGGAGUUUGUGGCCGCCCUGGUGUUGUUUCCCGGGCUGUUUCCUGAUUUCUCAGGCUAAACAUCAUAUCUGAUUUCUUGUAUUCUAUAUCUCUCUCCAUAUAUUUAUGUAGACAAAUCAUGCAUGUAAUGAGUUGUAAGUAUAUACAAGGCCUAGGACAUGUAAACAUACUUAAAACUUGGAAUUCGAAUCACUCGGGUUAACUAGCUAAUUGUAUAAUCAACUAGAGCUAUCAAGCUUAAGAGUUCCAAGACUUAAAGUUGAUCUAUAUUAUAUCGAGUGCGCCCAUGUAAUACAUUCAAAAUUGAUGCUGAGAUUAAAUGCAAUAGAACUUAGAUUUUGCAUGAUUUAGCACGUUAGGAUGUGCCAUGGAUACUCCUAAAAUGACUAACAUGUCGAAUGAGUUGCAUGUCAUCUAUUAUAUGUAGCAUCAAUACAUUAGUUGCAUCGAUCAUAGCUAGAACUUUUGACUAAUAAUAUAUUGAUUACACAUAGGAUUUCAUAAGUAUGGGCAAACCCAUUAUUUUUGAGAAAUCAGCCCUGUUGAUAAUAAGUUUAGGUCUCCUAGUCGAUCGAAGUAUCAAAAUUUUAAAACCCUCUAACCCUAAUUAAGUUCGAAGAUCGUCUUUGUAAUCUUCUAAUGUAAAAACUAAUUGUAGCACUCUCUCAAUGUUCCAGCAAUGAGAAAUCAUUAUGAUUAGUCUUCAAAAUUCGCUGUCGCAAAUUUGAUCUAACAUGUGUUGUUGUCUUUGUGAUCGCCUUUGUGAUGUUUCUAAUGUAAUAUACUAAUAUUUAACCGUACACGUAGUAUACUCUUGAUAUCACGUCCGGGUUAUUUGAAAUGCGCCUUCUCGUUUUUUUUAUUUUAAUUUUUUUUAAAUGGUUGCAUCUAGUGGCUAAUUUCAUCAAGUUAGCCACUAGAUGCAUAUUUAGUUCUACUGAAGAGCUUGUGGUUUUGAAGAAAGUUGGGGUUCAAUGUCAGCCCCGGCGUGCUCUAACUGGCACUGGUUAUGGCGGGGUAUUUCGUGAUUACAGUGGUAAAGUUAUGGGUGUUUGUUGCUCUAACUUGGACGUUCCAAGCUCUGUUGCUGCUGAAGUUAUGGCUGUUAAAGUUUGUUUUUUGUUUUUGUUGGGAGUGGAGUUAGGUCUCUCAUACUAUGAUGUAUUCAUCUUUUUUCUUUUAAAUAAAUUACUCUCGUUUCAUCGAGGUUUAAAAGAAAAGAAAAAAAAAGAAUCCCAACCUAGCUGGGAGGCUCAACCUCACACUCGUAGUUAUUAUUAUUAGAUGAAAUAGCCAAAUAGGAUACACUCAGAGAGGACAUUAUACGAAACGUGCCUUCUAAAGUCAUGGAAACCUUGUUUCUUAACCAUAGUAGUCUUUGGAUUACGAAGCAAAAGAAACAAAAAUCCGAUUAGGAUUAGGAUCACCAUAUUUGGAUUGGGACAGUUGGUGUUGGGUUGUCGAAGUUGGGCUUAUACACAACCCGGGUCAUCUUCUUCCAUAUACAACCGGGUUUUAGUCACACUCCUCUGUUCCUUCUUCUUCUUCGUUUUGAGAGAGAGAAUGGCCGACGACUUGUUUGGAGGUCUGCCUCCUCCUUCUUCUGCAAACCCUCUUCCCUCUUCCGAGCCUCAACAACCCAAACCCAAACCAAAGUUCGCUGCUUUUACUACAGACUCUUCUUCCUCUACACCAUCUCCAGCUGAAGCUCCACAACCAGUUCUGAAAAGCGCGUUGAAGAAGCCUAAACAGCCUUCUGAGCCGAACCCAGUUCUCAAAAGCGCCCUCAAAAGGCCCAAGGAACCCUCUGAACCAAACCCAGAAGGUAAUUCUUCAUCCUUUUUCUUGGGUUUUGAUUAUAGGGAUUCAAAACCCUGGUACUAUUAGCAACUGCAGUGAAAAAGGUUCAAUUUUUACGUACAUUGUUCUUGUUUUGUGAUAAAGUUAUCUUCAGGUGAAAAAACAUUAGAUACGAAAAGAAGGUAAGCUUUUAAUUGUUGGCCUCUAGGCUAUGCUAAGAAGAAGACUUUUGUCUACAGACUAGGUUGAAUUAGAAACAAGAAUUUGGGUAUAGCUAAUUCAUACAGUACUAAGAAUCCAAAAGGUAGAAAACGACUCCAAGGUUUGAUGAUCCUUCAGAAAAGUAGGACUCAAAUUUAUCAAUCUGUUUUGCUAAUAUACAGUUUUGAAGUUUGAAACCGGCUUUUAACGGGUUUUGUUACCCCUCAGUAAGGGAGAGAAAUUGUAUUCUUUGAAUUGUGGAAUGUUUAUGUGUGCUCUCUUGUUUUCUCUUCUUCUCCUUUACUCGUUGUUCAUUCGCCCCCCCCCCCCCCCCCCCCAAUGUGGGAUUAUGGGUCUUAACAUUCUGUUGGCAUUUUUAAGUAAUUGGUUUUUGCAGUUCAUAUUAAAGAAAUUACAUGGCUGGAACUGUUUUUAACAUUUUAAUUAUUGUUGUUGAUGUUAAUGAUUCACAGCCACUGUGCCUGGAAAGAAGUUGAGGUUUAAAACCACGACAGAUGCCUCAGAGCAACAGGUUAUAGAGGCCAUGCAGAAGAUAGCUUCACAUAUAAAGAAUUCUACAAAGUUUGGGAAGGCUUCAAAGCUUGCCAUCCAGCUAAUUCAGGCCGGAAGUGUCAAAGCCGAAACUAGUGAUUACUUUUUUUCCAUAUUAGAGGCCGCGAUGACAUCAUCUACCUCUUGCACAGAUCCUUCCAUACGAGCAGAUAUCCAUGCAUUGUUCUCAACAGCACAAGAUGCCUAUGAGGUAAGCUUUCAAGUCUAUAUAGCACAAAACAAUGUUUAAAACUCUGUAAAUUUGUAUUUCAAAUACUUACUGACAUAAGCUUUUACUUUUUAUGUUUAGUGUCUCAAUAAGAAGCAAAAGAAUCAGUUAACAACUUGGACGAUCAGAGCUGUGGUGGCAAAUGAUCUACUCACUGAUGACAGCUUCCUGGUAAGAACUUUUCUCAUGGAAUAGCUUGUGAGCAGACUUCCUGAAUCAUGUAAUGCUUGCCUAUUUUUUGGAUAUGAUAUGAUGACAAGCGCGGACCCUGGAUGGGCAUGUUAACUGUACCUUUUUAGUAUAAUGCUUACCUCUUUAGUAUGUGUCUUUAACCGUACCUACAUGAUCAUUGUUAUUACUCUUUAUUGUCAAACAAAUGUUCUAUAGCAUAUAAUUUGACAAUACUAAUGCACAUUCUUUCAGGUUUUGAGUGUAUAAUUUACUUGAAAUGAAUAUGCACAUCAGCGUUUCGAUUUAUAGGAGUAUCAUAACAAAUGAAUAUGCACAUCAGUAUUUUGAUUUAUAGGAGUAUCAUAACAAUCGAUUGCUGUCUUGUUAUUAUUAAUGAAUAUGCACAUCAACAUUCUGUUUGCUAAUGUACUUUACUUUCUCCUUGCUGAGUUAUGAUUGGGGUUGCUUGAUAAAAUAUUAGAUUAAAACAAUAGGACAAUAUUGGUUUAGUAUUUUAUAAUGUAUAGUUAUGUUGGCUUGAACUUCCUUUUUUGUGUGUGAUAUGUUCCCAUGCCUUCCCUUCUUUUUUUCCUUUUCCUUUUCUCAUUUUCAUUCUUUCAUUAUGUGAACUUUUACGAAGUUUUCGAAAACAGCUCGACAAGUACAAGAAGCAAUAUCUAAUCUGCCAGUUGCAACUGAGGAUGAUGACAGAGAUGAAUCAGCUGUCCUGGAAGAGGAAACUAAAACAACAGAUGAGGAUAAUUUAAUGAAGAAGGACAUGACUUCAGAAAUACCAGAUGAAGAAAAUAAUGAGGAAGAGUCAGAUCCAUUUGGGCUUGAUGCAUUUUUACCUCCGAGCUCUGUGAAGAAAGGAGAUAGAGUAAAGGGAAAGAAAGUUGCAACUCCCAAAGACAGGGAGGAGGAAGAGACCAAGAUAUUCCUCAAGUCACAGAGAGAAGCCUUGGUCCUUUGUUUAGAGAUAGCUGCUCGGCGUUAUAAAACUCCAUGGUAAGAUUCUUGUAAACUCAAUCUUACCUAUGCUUUCUGGUGAUAUCCAAGGUACUGUUCUUGCAUUUAUCGAGCAAGACUUUCUUAUUCUUUUAUUUGAUUUUACUUUUCAGGUGCCAGACAGUCAUAGACAUAUUAGCAAAGCAUGCUUUUGAUAACAUACGGAGGUUCACAUCUAAACAACGGAAUGCUAUUGAGAAACUUUGGGCUUCCAUACGGGAACAGCAUAAUCGGAGAAAACAGGGGAAAACAGUUACCGGGAAACUUGACGUGAAUGGUUUUGAAUGGCUGCAGGAAAAAUAUGCUAAUGAGAAGAUCAGCAUUCGGCAUUCUGUUGGAGGUAGUGGGGAUCGUAAGACUGAAAUGUGGCUUGGUUGAUAGUAUCCUUCCAGUAGAAAUGUUGCUCAUUAUCUUUUUAGUAGCAAUGUUGGUGAAAGGAAGCAAAACGGACUGAGAAAUACUGUAAUUGAUAUCAUUAACGUAAGAAUCAUUUGCAGUGCAGCAGAAUGUUUCAUCAGUACCUUGUUAUGUGCCACUUGUAUUUUGUAGUUAUGGAUGAACAUCUGGUCAAAACUUCACCUUGGUCUCGUUGUAUUACAAAUUUGAAUCUUUGAGGUUAAAUAAGACUCGUAACUAACACACUUGGAAGUUGGAAACUAAGUAAUUAUAUGCAGAAUUCAUAUUACAAGUUAUAGACAUUAGCUAGUUGCUACCAUCAGCCAAUGACAUUUCAUCGGCGAAAUUUGUUCAACCGACAAAGUUUCAUCGACACAAGUUCUUUAAAAUUCUUUGCCAAGAACAUUGAAAGCUACUCAUGGCAUCUAUGCAGCAAAUUUGAUUGGUGCUGGUAGUUUAUAGCUAAGAUUAUAGGUGAUGUUGUAUCUGAACUGAAAAGGAUUCGAGCAGACUCUUGUUGGAUAGAAACUUUGCUAUUAUGGCUUUCACUGCCUAUCAUGCUUUUAUGUGCUGUGUGCUUUAAUUUCAUGUUUUGUUGCUGCUAUAUGUGCUUGAAUAAAGUUAUGUAUACAUUAUGUUUAGUUCUCUAUUUGUCUUACCCGUAUCCUAAUUCCUAUACGGUUUUGAGUUUUGUUUGCUUUUAUCUACCUUUAGUUGUAGUUCAAUUUCUAGGCCAUUGAAUGAACAAUGCAAUAGGAAUAGCUGAUAUGAGGCAAUGAAUAAUGGCUAAAUCUGAAAAAGCUACUGAGCUACAAUAUCAGUGUGUGAGAGGAUAUGUAUGGUUUUGGUGGAGAGCUGACAUGAGGCAAUAGAUGAUGUACAUGAUUGAGAUUUAUAAGGCGACAAUGAUUUUUAGGUACUUCUCUUGGUGGUUCUUUUCUUGCUGCAAGUCUCUAUAGUACUUAUCUUGGUGAUUUGAAGAUUAUCUUCUGUAAAAAUCUCUGAACUAGAACAAACUACAAACAUAAUUUGUCUAGAGUUGCAAACUAAAAGCUUUACCAAGAAGGGAAUGAAUUGACAGGGUCAAAUCAUUUCAACGUCUUCAUAAUAUCAUAGAAUAGAGUAAAUGAGUAAUGCAAGCAUCGGCAACAAAAUUUGUUUCUCUAAAUGAUAACCCCUGAAGUAAGCCUUUGUUGAUCUUCACAUUCAAACCCAACAAAAUGCAGUAGUUUUUGUUACAUUGUACAGAUGGGUGGUGGAUUGCUACCAAUAGUCACCACAAGAACAAGAUCCAUCUAUGAAGUGGUGAAAGCGAUUCCGGUCCCUUACUAUCAUUACUCUGCUGUAAAUCUUUGAUAACAGCUUUGUAGCUGUGUGACAGUCAUCACACACUCGGAGAUUUUUUACAAUCCGAAUUGGGGUACAUGCAGCUGUACUGAUUAGGCCAAAUGCCAUGGCCAGUUUUUCACUAUGGUAGUUCAGCGCAGUUUCUUUCUCUUCCUCAUCUAUGUUCUGCAAGACCACAGAUGUAUUAGGAGUGUAUCCAGCCUCUUUUAGCUUCUUGUUCAUCUCAGCCAGCAUUUCAUAAAUUUUUCUUGUUUGCGGGUGUGUUUUAUCACCCAUCAUGAAGUCAUGAACUGCGCCGUUUACUUCUAUUGAGCUGAGACCUGGUUCUUUCUUGGUUCCUUGGUCUUUCAUGGCUUUUCUGACACCAGCAACAUCAACCCAUUUGUUUGAUGCUGCAUAGAUGUUUGACAUCAGAACAUUGUAACCGCAAUUUUGAGGUUCCAACUUAAGCAGUUGUCUUGCUGCCACUUCAGCCAAGUUGGGACUCUUAUGAGUUUUGCAGGCAGCAAGUAGGGAACCCCAAACAAUUGUGUUAGGCUCCAGGGGCAUGCUUUUGAUCAAUUUGUGAGCCUCAUCGAGCUUCCCAGCUCGGCCUAGCAAAUCCACCAUGCAUCCAUAGUGCUCAACCUUUGGAGCCAAGCUAAAGUCAUGUACCAUUUUCUCGAAAAUCUUCUUCCCAUCUGCUACCAACCCAGCAUGGCUACAAGCAUGAAGUAGCCCUAUAAAUGUGAUGUCAUUAGGCUUAACACCUUGUCUCUGCAUUUCUUCAAAGAGCUCUAAAGCUUGUUUACCACAACCAUGCAUAGCGAGUCCAGUGAUCAUGACAUUCCACAUCUGACUAUCUCGAUUUAUAGCUUCGCUGAACAGCCUGAGAGCGACAUCUAUCUCCCCACAUUUUGCAUACAUGUCCACUAGAGCUGUUCUUAGUAUCACAUCAACGUCUAUACGCUGCUGGUUUAUGUAAGAAUGAACCCAUUUUCCCAGAUCAAGAGCACCUACUUCUCCACAUAGUGAAAUGAGGCUAACCAUUGUAACUUGAUUUGGCCUUACUCCACUAUCCUUCAUCCGAGCAAAGAGCUCUGAAGCCUGAUUAGUCUGAUUAGCACGUGAAUAAGCCGAGAUCAUAGCACUCCAAAUCAUCACAUCUUUCUCCUCGAUGCUGUCAAACACAGCCCUCGCAUAUUCGGCUUCACCACACUUCCCAUACAUGUCAACCAAAGCAGUGGCCAAAGCCAAAGACAUGACAAACCCAUUUCUCAAAACAUAGGCAUGCAGCCACUUCCCCAACUCCAAAGCUCCAACGUUCCCCGACUCAAUAAUCAAACUCAACACUGUAAUCUCAUUAGGAAACUUUCUCUCCUCCAGCAUUCUCUUGAAAAGUUUCACCCCCUCUUCUACCUCAUUGCAACGAAUGCAUCCUGCAAUCAUCGUGGUCCAUGAAACAACACUUUUCUCAGCCAACCCAUCAAACAGCCUUCUUGCAUAACCCAAAUUCCCACACUUGACAUACAUAUCAACUAAAGCAGUAGUUACAGGAACCACCAGCUUCUCAUUAGCACUAUUCCUCACAACAUAACAAUGCAUUGCUUUCGCC